rnacentral:lncRNA from 1 species
CAACUGAGCCAGGGUCUUUUGUGUCAAGCCAACUGAUGCAACUCUCAUCUUCCUUCCAGAGGUUGGACCCAAUGUGUUUGACCUGAUCAUUUUCAAUAUGUUGUUGCAUCAAGUGUAGUGGGCCUAUGGUGAAGGUUCUUGGAUUUAAGGUAAUUAAAGGGUUAACACUAUCUUGUUCUAAAGCGUCGAAAGUGUUUAGCACCACAGCUGAGCCUCUAGGGAUAGUUGCAGCCUCGGUGAUGAGAUAAUUUAACAUGGUGUCGUUUAUGUCUGUGGUUCGAAUAAAACUGGGGAAAUCCUUUAAUUUGAUGUUAUUCAUUCCAGGAAUCCAAUCUAAGCUUUUCUCCAAAUACCCAUUUAAUACCUCGCUCAUAUCUGUAUCAUUUCAAUCGUUACGUUUCAUGAGUAUCUAUAUGUAGAAAGCUAAAACUAGAUUUAUUUGUAGGAAAAUAAAUAACUUAUACACAAACUUAAUAAAAAGGUAACUAUGCAUAUAAAGAGACUAGAAAAAUACACAUAUGCAGAUUUUAAAAUAAAAAGCGUUUAUUAACAUUUUUAUAAAAUCUAUUCACAAUAUAUAUAUAUAUAUAUCCGGUAAGAAUUUUUUUUUUGUAGGAAAGUAAGAAGCUUUUUUCUACAUAUCUUUUUAACGAACAAAACAAAUAAAUCACUAAAUGAAUAAAAAAUAACAUGAUUCACAAAAAAAUUGUCAUAAAAAAAACAUCUCGAUGAUUAAUUUAUACAAUGAUUUUAUUCUUAUUUACUAAAAUUGUCAUAAAAGUGAAGUUUUUCUUAAUUACUUAAAAAUAAAUCAUAAAUAUGUUUUUUUGGGAAUUUUUUCCAGUGAAUCAUCUAAUGAUUUAUUUUGUUUGUUUGCUAAAAAAAUAUGUAGAAACAUAAUUUUUUAUUNNNNNNNNNNNNNNNNNNNNNNNNNNNNNNNNNNNNNNNNNNNNNNNNNNNNNNNNNNNNNNNNNNNNNNNNNNNNNNAUAUGGCCGUAAUCAUAGCCAUUCAUUUUGGGAAUAAAAAAAUAUUUCUAAAACACAAAAUAAAUGAAAACUUUUGAUUUUUUUUAAAAUAUUAUUUUCGUUAUUUAUAUUAUUCUAAAAAAUAAGAAUAAAUAAUAAAUAAUAAUAAAUGACCAUUGAUUCUAAAAUAUACAUAAAGUAUUCUAAUAUAAUAUUAUAUUAUAAAUAUUCAAAAUGAAUUUUUAGAAUUUAGAAUAUUCUAGUAAAAUAUUAAAUUAUAAAUAUUCAAAAACUUCUGAUAAAAAUAUUAAAAUAUUCUAACAAAUCUAAUAAUUAAAGUAGAAUAUUAGAAUACUUUAACAUAUUUAUCAAUUUUAGUAGUAUCUAAAAAUAUUCUAAUAUUAUAAAAUUUCGAUUUGAUUAUUUAUAGUGUAAUAUUCUAUUAACAUAUUUCAUGUAUAUUUCGAAAAAACAUAAUUUUAUUUAUUUGUUUGGAUAAAUUAAAUAACAAAAAUAAUAUUUAAUAAAAAGUUUUCGAAUUUUUCUUUUAUUUUGCAUUUUAACAAUUUUUUGUCCUAAUGUCUAACAAUAUUAAUGUCGUCUCAAUUUAUACUAUAUCAUACUAUAUUAUAAAGAAAAUAUUUUUUCUUUCACAACAUUUAUUUGAAACUCAAAACUCUUCAUAUUUCGAUAUAAUAUAUUUAAUUUAUUAACUUAAAUAUGUUUUUAAUUAUAAACAUUAUCGUAAAUGGAAGACUUUGUGACUUAUCAAUAUGAUAUGUUUAAUUUGUUAACUUCAAUAUAUUGUUAAAUAAAUAAUCUAUAUAAAUAUAUUAAAUAAGAUUAAAAAUUUAUUGUUAUAUUAUAAAUGAAACAUUUUUUUUUCUUUCACCACGUUUAUUUGAAACUCCCAACUCUUCAUAUUUCCAUAUAAUAUAUUUCAUUUAUUAACUUAAAUAUUUUUAUUUGUAAACAUUAUCACAAAUGGAAGACUUUAUGACUUAUCAAUAUGAUAUAUUUAAUUUGUUAACUUCAAUAUAUUGUUAUUUAAUCAUCUAUAUUAAUAUAUUAAAUAAGAUUAAAAUUUUAUUGUAAAAUUGAAAACCUAAAGUAAAAUAUCAAAUAAUGUUUUAAAAAUAAAUCAAUAUNUAUAUAUAUAUAUAUAUAAUAGUUUAAAGGAAAACAUUAAAUAUAAUAAAUAUAAAACAACCUAAUUCUUGGAACCGAAUUAACAAAAAUGUGUCUGAAAACUAUAUUUUAAAAUAACUAAAAUUCAAUUCAGUUGUUUUUAAAUUAAUUUAUAAUAAUAAUAGUUAAAAAUAAUAGAAAUUUCGAAAUUAAAUUAUAUUAGAUUACAAACAGUUGUUGAAAUAUGGAUGAACAUUUAUUGUGCGGACGUAUGGACAGUGUUAUUCUGUGAGAAUGACAAAGAAAGUAUGUUGUUUGAUAAUAUGAAUAUGUUCACUCUUACAUAACUAUUGUCUUUAUCACACAUUCUCAUUUAUUAAAUCGUUUAUAAGGUUAUUAUAGACUUCUUAUUAUUAUUCUCAUUCUGUCAGAAUGUUUAUUGAGUCAUAUUAUGUCUGAAUGAAAAUGAAUGAAAAACGAUUUGUGAGAACAAAAAUAAAGAAGAAUUAGUGAGAUUGCGUGAAAAUAACAAUAUUUUUGUAACGUUGAACAUAUUUGCAUUACUAAACAACUUAUUCACUUAGUAAUCCGCAUACAAUCGCAUUGUUCAUACGUCCGCACAAUAAUUGUUCAUCUNAUAUAUAUAUAUAUAUAUGGAUGAACAUCUAUUGUGCAGACGUAUGGACAGUGUUAUUCUAUGAGAAUGACAAAUAAAAUAUGUUGUUUGAUAAUAUGAAUACGUUCACUCUUACAUAACUAUUGUCAUUAUCACACAUUCUCAUUUAUUAAAUCAUUUAUAAUGUUAUUAUAGACUUUUUAUUAUUAUUCUUAUUCUGUCAAAAUGUUGUUAGAUUAUUUAUUGAGUCGUAUUCUGUCAGAAUGAAAAUGAGUGAAAAAGGAUUUGUGAGAACAAAAAUAAAGAAGAAUUAAUGAGAAUGCAUGAAAAUAACAAUAUUUAUGUAAGAUUGAACAUAUUCGUAUUACUAAACAACUUAUUCUCUCAAUAAUUCUCAUACAAUCGCAUUGUUCAUACNNNNNNNNNNNNNNNNNNNNNNNNNNNNNNNNNNNNNNNNNNNNNNNNNNNNNNNNNNNNNNNNNNNNNNNNNNNNNNNNNNNNNNNNNNNNNNNNNNNNNNNNNNNNNNNNNNNNNNNNNNNNNNNNNNNNNNNNNNNNNNNNNNNNNNNNNNNNNNNNNNNNNNNNNUAUAUAUAUAAUUUGGUGCUCGAAAAGAAUUUAUGUAUAAAAAUACAACAAAUAAAACAAAUGACAUCGCUAUAUAUGCAUUAUUUUAUUAGGUUGUCUCCUUUGAUAAAGUUGAUUCGGUGUCCUUUCCAAAAGUAGAAAUUUAAAUAUAAUAAAACUGUUGUAAUGGUCAAAUAGAAAAAUAAUAAUAUGAUUGGAAAAGAUAAAAGAUUCAAUCAUUUCACUGGAAAAGGCCAACGAUCAAAGUGACAUAAAUAUGGUUUUGGCAAGUUGGAACUCCAGAAAACAAGAACAAGGACAGUAAUUUCACCUUUGAGGGGAGUAUACCCCUUUCAACAAGAUCACGAUAGUGAGUGUAAGCUAAAACUCCGCAAGUACUCGGCGUCCAGAAUAAUACAUCUUUCAACCCAAACCUUUGGGCAGCUUUAAGCGUAAAGCUCAUGCACCCAUCGGAAACUAUACAGCUCGGAGGUGGCACGCCAGACUCCUCGCCACCUUUAAGCCUACUGAUCAGCUCACAGAAAGGUUCUAAACUGUGCUUAGGAACAGAUUCACAGAGGGCCGGGAUUGACUGGGUCGCUUCGACAUCAGACGGCGGAAGACCAUCAGGGAUGGAGUAGAAAUGAAAAUCGGGCAGACCAUCAAGGGAGGAAGGGCCUCGGGAUCUGAGCAAGCGCUUAUGGUUGUAGUGGGUGUUGACGAAGGAGAUAUGGAAUCCCUUACAGUGAAGGAGCUUCGCAAGUUUCAUCAUGGGGUUGAUGUGGCCUUGUGCUGGAUAGGGGAUGCAUAUGGCAUGUGGCUUCUCCAUUUCUGCUAUGGAACCCAUCUGCUGCAGUAUUUAUUUAUGUGUCUUGAGGGAGAAAGCAAACUGGUGGUGGUAGUAUUUAUAGGAGAGGAAGGGCAUAAAUGGAAGGUUAGCUUAAUUACCGCUUGGACCUAUUUCUAUUCGACAUGUGAUAUCUUAUAUUUUUCGGAAAUGCCAAACGAUUAAGCGGAGGUCUCACUUCAACAUUUCAAGGCCCGUUCUAGAGGGUGGACGAUAGGACGACCGUUCGGGGCCCAUGCCCAAAUUAUUUAUGUAAAUUGUUAUAUUUAUAAGAUAGUACAAAUAAAUUUCCUUUAAUUAUUGAGUUAUUAUAAAAAACUUGAUCACAUUUAUAUAUUUUAAGGGUCCAUUUUUUUUCUCUCGCUCUAGGCCCAAAAUAUGUUUAAAACAACCCUGAAUAUUUCAUUUUAGUGGUGACCGUGAGUUCUAGCUUUUUUAACGGACAAACUUAGCCACCAAAGGAGUAUCAUGAAAAACUUCUCACACAUAUCACCUGAUUACAAGAAACAAGUUUAACAUAUUUAAAUAAUUGAACUUCUCACCUCAAACUCACAUAGGUAUCAAACCCGGUGCAUCAAUAAAACUAUGUUCGACAUCACUUGCAUGUGAUAUCUUAUAUGUCCAACGAACAUUUAGCAUGUUUCACUUUAUCGAAAUUUUUUUAUAAUUAUUUGUAGAAUAAGUUAUUUUUUUAGUUACAUUUUUAAAAUUUUAACAUUUCUUGUUGAUAUGGUUUUCAAAAGUUGUAUGUCUGGUCCUGAAGACUAAUUUCAUGAAAUCUUAUCAGAUAAAGUUGCAUGUGUGGUAUUGCAUGCGUGGUGGUUAUUCUUGAUAACGAUUCACUAGGUUAGUGGCUGAUGGUGGUUAGUGAAAUUAAAUCGUUAGUUCCAAACAAUAUUUCAUAUACGUUUGUCUAUGUGGUGGUACGAAAUGUUGUGUAUUAUAUGACAGCUAUUGUGUUGAAUAAUUUUUGUAAAUAUUUUUAAAAACAUAUUUGUAUGGUCAAUUUUGUCUUGUCCAUGUAUUGUGGAACAUGUGUUGUGUUCUGUACAAUAACCAUAUUGUACUUUUUGUUCAUUGAACAUAUCACUACAAGGAAAAAUGUAAUUAGCAACAACAAAAGUCACCGCUAAAGGGUCUUCAUUGUCACUGGUAAUGGUAAUCGCGGCGACACGUCGCUGCUACUGCUUCAUCGCUAUUAAUCACAUUGUCGCCGCUAAACAGAAUUGCCACCGCUAAUGACAUAGUCGCCGCUAAAAAGUGCAGUCGCCAAUAAUAACAUUUUCGUUAAAUUAUUUUUUAAUCUACGAUCACUAAUAGAAAACAGCCAUUUAAUAACGCGCAAACAAUGACACGCGGUGAUUUACGAUACGCAAAAGCAUGUGCCCUAAAAAUAAUGUCAUAUCUUCUAAAAUUUGAAGGAUAGAAGACACGCUUUUGUGCGUGCCCUAAAAUUAUUGUCCAACAAAAAAAAUUAAAAACACGGAGGGCACCGAUUUAAAAAUGGGUGUCGUCUAGGAAUGUCGCUUUAUAUUUUUUUAUUCAAAGGCGCGCUCUCUUCUUUUGCAGCUGGGGGGAAACGAAAAUGCCAAAAGUUUGAAAAGCCGCCAUUGUUAUCCUCUUCCUUAUUUCCAUCUUUCUUUUCUAUCUCUCUCUCUAUCUAUCUCUAUCUCUAUCUCUCUCUCCCUCUCUCUCUCUCUCUCUCUCUAUAUAUAUAUAUAUAUAUCACUCUAAUACCCAAAAAAAACCCUAAUAUCAUCACCAAUCCUAUAAUUUUGUUGAUUUUAUUUAGUUAUGCUAUUGAUGGGUUGUACAGUCGCCGAAAGGGGGCCGACGAUAUCUUGCCUAAUGGUUUCAAACACCCACCUGAGAGACAAUUGUGUAAUUAACGUAAUUUUGUUCGGAUUAAAUGGUUUCACAGCUACUCGAGUGUUACAACUCAAUUGAGGAGUUUCUUUUUCCUUAUAAGCCCCCAAUUUCUGCUUGAUUUAUAGAAUGUAGUUAUUGUAAUCUACUCGGAUGUUGAUAAAACCCUAAUUCUACAUCGAUUACCCAGUGUAAGGGUUUUCUGUUCUUGUCUAUGUGAAGAUUUCUUACCUAAUUUCUCCUUCUAGGUUUCAUACUCGCCUUGAUGCUACUCGCUUGGUUUCAGUUUCAGGCCUGUACCCGCUGUUCUCUGUCAACUCCGAUCAAAACCAACCGGCCAUCCACCCUCGAUGUCACCUCCUUUGCCGGUCACCAAGAAUAAGCAGACACAGAUAGCUGACAACAAGAAAAACACGAACAAUAGAGUGGGAGAAAAAGAAAGAGAAAUUUGAAAUUCGACUUUAGGUGACCAUUAUUUCGUCGUUCCCUUAUUUUUUUUCUAAACCGAUUUGUUUUUCAACUAUGGAAUUUUGGGAAAUUUGAUGUUUUUUCUCCAUCUUCAAUUACUAUGUCUUUCUUAAUGAUACGUUAAUUUGUUUGAUUGAGGGUUCAACAUGAUCAAUUACUCAGACCAUUAUAGGGUUCGACAUGUAUAUCAUCGUUUAUUUGCGAUAUGCGACUAACUGGUCUUCAUUAGCGAUUUGCACGUAAGUACCUUUGACUGAAACUUUAUUGACUUUUCCUUUGACUUUCUAUAAUCAUUUUUCACAAGUUUAUAUCAUUCAUCCUAUUUUCUGUUUCUUCCAAAUACUCAUUCUAUUGUCACUUAUAGGAACGAAAAGAGAGGCAUUUGUACCCCCUUCUUAUUCACAAUCUAGUUUAGUGACAAGAAUUUGUUCAUUACCAACUUGAUGCAUUGAUGUUCAAUGAUCAACCACGUCCAGAUUAUGGGGUCGAAGUCAUGUACAGGGUAAUUACUUCCUAUUUCUUGAAUCUAAUUCUUGCAUUUUUCUAAAUGAUAAACCACGUCCAACUUGUUCUUGUUGAAGUUCCUUUAAAACCCUUCUCAUUCACAUUGCUUGACAUGCAGCUGCAGUCAAGGAAACAUAUUCAGCUUUGGUACUUGAAAGUGCAGUUCACUCUUGUUUCUUUGAGCUCCAUGUAACAACUCCUAUUCCCAAAGUGAACACACUUGCUGAGACGCUUCUUCUAUCAUCAUUAUAACCUGCCCAGUCACUAUCCGAAAAGCCACAGAGUUUGACUUGAGUUGCUUUGGCAUACCAACACUCAGGCGACUAUGAUCCAAGGCAGGAAUGUAUUGAACAUCAUGAAGGCAUCAAGCCUUAUCAUUCUCAAACUGAAUUCUUACUGUACCUUUUCCUUCUCCAUGUAAUGUUUUUCCAUUUCUAAGUUGCAGAGUCAUUUUCUUUGAAUCAUCAAGUUGAGAGAAGGCAUUUCGUUUACCUAUUGGAUAAUAGCCAGUGCCUUAGCAUCUUUUCUUCUAUUUUCUUGUAAGUUUGCUUCUUCAUUCUUUGCGGGAAGUCCAUGCUCAACUAGUUCCCACAGAUCUUGUGAUCUUAGUAUUCAUAGCCUUCUCCUUUGAACCCAGUGCUAAUUUCUCAACUUCUUUCACAGUUCUUCCAAUUUCCAAAAUUUCAAUUCCAACCAUAUUGAAAUUCGAAAGCAAUUGCUUCAAUCGAUUUCCUGUGGGUUAGCUCGAUACCCUUGAUUCGUCCGGUUGUGCCGCAUGAGUAAAGUAUCCCCACCCUAUCAGACCGCUAUACAUCUCUGCUUCAAGAUAUCCCAUCUCAAUGAAAGUGAUUCAGGCCUCACUCCUCUCUCAUAGCGAUUUAGGGUUUUUUGGUACAAGUUAUCGACUAAGACACCGGCGACUUAGGGUUUUUUCAUAAAAGUUGUGUAUGUGCACUUCGAUUGAUCCAAUGACGAAUCCACAAUGUUUGGUUUGGAAAAUGUAAAACAGAGGUAACGUUUGUUUCUUUUUGAGUUCAUACAGAUGAGAGAAUCACGUCAUCUGUCGAUUCUAUCAUCUCACAGCGUUGGUAGCCCCUUCAGGCGGUUUCUCCAGUCAGUGGCUCACUCCUUAACACAUAGGUACAAUUUUAUUCUGAUUUCUUCUUCUUAUAGUGCUUCAGUCUUUUGUAAACACAAUUUUGAUUCAUAAAAUAUCUGUUAUUCUUUCUACUCAAUUUGCAGUUACAGAUUCUGCUCUUUCAGCUCACAAUCGUAAGUGGUAUACAGUUUCACUGAAGCCAAGUUCCCUGUAGUGAAUAUGAUGCUUGUUAUCAGAACUUCAUAAUCACAAAAGCCAAACAAAUUGUUAUAUUUUUACAUAUCUAUUCAGGGCACAAGAAUUGGGUUCUUUGUGUUGCAAUGGUGAGAAUUAGAAAACAGUUGAUUUAUUAGUUUUACAUAUUUAUGCUUGCUUGUGCUUUGUUCAAUGAUUGGUGUAUCCUAAUAAAUUCAAAAAUAUAUUGAGCUUUGUAGUCGUCAUCCAGAAAUUAAGUGGGCUCAGAGAGAGGAUAAAGUUUAUGUCACAGUUUUAUUGGCGGAUACAAAAGAUGCAAAAGUGAAUCUUGCUCCUAAAGGUGUUUUUACAUUAUCUGCUUCAGCUGGUCAGCAUGAGUAUGAUCUUAAGCUUGAGCUUUUUGACAAAGUUAAUGUAGAGGUAAGCAGCCAUUUAUAUUCUAAAUUACUUUAUUAUAUCAUUAUGUCAUUUUACUAUAUACUAUAUCUAGAUUCAAAUAUAUUCAUAUUUAAACUCCAUUUAUAUUCUAAAUUACUUUAUUAUAUCAUUCAUUAGGCAUGGAGGGUACCUAAAGUCUUGCGUCCUUUAUAUGAUCUCCAACUGUUCUCGCUCAAAAAAACAACAAUGAUGGUAAUACAACAUUUUAAAUCCAUAACGUUUCCAAAUAUACCCUUAUGUCAUUUUACUUAAUUAAUAAAAAAUUGAAUAUGUGACAGGCUUUACGCCAGCUAAGGCAGAUCGCUCUAGAAGCUUCAAAAACCUCAUUGAUUUCAACAUCUUCUGAUUCUUGUGAUUGCAGCUAAGACAAUCAGGUAUAAAUAUAAUUAUGGUCUUUCUUAUAAUCUUUUGUACUUUACUGACAUAUUCUUGCGAUUGCAGCUUGUUGAACAUGUUGCUACAUGCUUAAUUAAAAUAGCAAAAAGAGUACAAGAAUCCAGUGAAAUGCUUGAUGAACUUUCUAAACAUGGAUUGAUUCAUCAAGUGGCAUAUCUUAUAGACCUGAUCAACCAUACCACUCUAUCUUAUUAUGUUCAUACUGUAUGUGCAUCUUCUUCUAUUUUUAGCAAUUUUUGUUUUUUUUCCAAUCUUUUUUAAGAACUCUUGUGUAUUGAUAUGUAGGGUCUAAUUUGACUACUUGUUAAACUUGCUUCUGGUUCUAUGGUGGCUGUGAAGACACUUUUUGAUCUUAAUAUAAGUAGCAUUUUGAAAGAGAUCUUGUCAAUAUAUGACCUUUCACAUGGAGUCCCUUCCCCUCGAACAAUUGAUGGACAUUAUAAUCAAAUGCAUGAAGUUUUGAAGUUGUUGAUUCAGCUUCUACCCGUUGUAUCCAGAAAUCAAGAAGUUCCAUUAGCUGCAGAAAAAGAAGCUUUCUUGGUGACUCAUCCUGAUCUUGUAGAGAAAUUUGGGAAUGAUUUAUUACAUGUCUUGAUCCAGGUUGGUUAUCAUUUGUCAAUCAUGUUGUACUGAUUUCUUGCUAACUUUUACAAUUUCCCUGAUAUACCCUUUCUUUUCUUCUCAUUUCUGAACAGGUUGUUGAUUCUGGGGUGGAUUUAUAUAUCUGUUAUGGGUGUCUAUCUGUUGUUGACAAGUUACUUUAUUACAGUAACUCUGAUAUGCUUCUUGAUUUGCUUAAAAGCACCAACAUUUCAAGGGGACAUAAUCUUGAAUUCUUGAUACUCAACUAUACUUUUUUCUAUCAAAUUUCUCUUCAGUUUUAAUGGUUUCAUGUUGGUAAUUUCUCAGGUCAAUUGCUUAUACAAUCCAGAACUUAAAGCUGAAUGGGAUUCAGCCAAAAUGGCCAAUAAAUAGAGAUUAGCACAGUACAUAUCGAAAGUAACAGGCGAAACAAUUGACCCAAAUACCCUUUUUGACAUUCAAGUGAAGCGCAUCCAUGAAUAUAAAAGACAGGUGUUGUAUACAGGAGAAGCAUGAAGAAUCCAAAGUGGCAAUCUUGUAAUUAUGCAUACAUAUCAUUCUGCCUUCUAAAUUUGGACCUAAUAGUUUCUUUUUUUUGUGUAAAAACAGAUGAAAAGAUAGCAUUAUUGGGUGCAAUACAAUCUUUAUUCGAGGGUUCAAUGUACACUUUUGUGUUUCUAUGGACACCUGCUUUAAGCCCAAAUGGUGAAGACAUUCCACAUGGUUUCAUUUUUGCUACUUUCAUGUUAUCUUCCAUGUUAGGAAGCUCUUUAGCUUCUCGGUUAUUAGCACACACACUGACAUACAUUGAUAUUGUGUUGUGUUGUGUGUGUGUGUGUAUAUAUAUAUAUAUAUAUAUAUAUAUAUAUAUAAAUGUAUAAAAUCAAGAUUCACUUUCCACUCGGACAAAAAUACUCUUCCGGAUUGUUCCGAAUUAUUAUGACCAUUUUGCCCUCAUAGGAAUUUUGACAUUAACAUAUAUGCACACAUUUCUUUUAGUGUAGAUUUUGUCGAAGAGAAAUGACAACAAAGAAGAUAAGUAUCUCUUGUUGUUUGUAUAUAUACACUUUUUCUUCUUGUUUAAUAACUUAAAAACUAUAUAAAUGUGAAAAUUGAAGGUUCACACACUGUUAAAAGGAUUGGAAAAGAUAAUUGCAAGUGCAGAUAUUCCAAUGUUCGUCUGUGGUGACUUCAAUUCAGUUCCAGGAAGGUAUGUGUCAUUUCUGCUACAUUUGUUAUGUGUGUUGUGUGGCCAACAAACAUAUGUUUUCAUUACUUUGGUGUAUGUAAUUAUUGAUCCACAAUAAGUCCAUGGAUUUACUGUGUUUUUGGAUUGUCCUAUAGGUAGCAUCUCAGCUUCUGAUUAAUUUGGUGUACUAUUUUGGCAGGUUGAUCUCUAGGGUCUGCUAGAAGGAUUGGAUAUUGCAGUUAAGCAUCUAUCUAAGACUUCACGGCAAGGACUUGAUGAAUAUAAGUUAGCAAUGUUUUACUUGAUUUGGACAUGAACAAGACUCAAGCAAAAGCAAGACUCAUACGUUGGCAUGGCUAGAAGCUUUGGAGGAAACAAGACUCAAGCAAAAGAAAACACACAGAGAGUUGUUAGCACAUAGUAAGCUAGAUAAUGCGAUUGUAUAUAAAUUCUACUUCUCUUGAGUUCAUUUCCUUUAUUACAAUUACUAAUUAUUGGAAUAAUUAUUUGUAUUUGACAUAUUAGUGAAAUGAAUUAUUUUUGUUAUUUAUGGUAUUUUAUUUUGUAUUAUGAGAUUUUUAAGGUAUUAUUUAAUUUAAAAAUUAGUAAAUCAAUAAUAUAAUAUUUUUUUAAAACAUUUAAAAUUAUGAUACGCAAAAAUGUGUGUCAUCUUCAUUUAUGACAUGGCCUUUCUUGACAGGGGCUUUCUUGAUACGCAUUGCGUGUCAUUAACACGCGCGUCGUAAGGUUACGACUUGUGAAUGCGUGUCGUCUUCCUUUAUGACAGGGCCUUCCUUGAUACGCAUUGUGUUUCAUAAAUGCGCGACGUAAUUGUGCGUCGUAAAUGAGCGUCGUAAAUGCGCGUCGUUUCUCUUUAUGACAGGGUCUUCCUUGACGCGCAUUUGCGCGUCGUCUGAGCCUUUUACGACACGCAAUGAGCGUCGUAAAAGGCUGUUUUUCUAGUAGUGGAUUUUGGUUGUUGGUAAUAGUGUCGUCGGUAAUUACAUAACAUUCAAUGAAAUAUCAAAAAUAAUAGUGUUGCUGGUAAUUUCAAAACAAACAUCCAAUUAAUAUCAAAAGUAAUAGUGUCACCGGUAAUAAUGUCGCCGAUAAUUACCGAUCCGAUUAAAUAUUAAAAGUAAUAGUGUCAUUGUUAAUAAUGUCGCCGGUAAUUAUAGAAAACAACCAAAAGUUUUACAAUCAAACAGGUAGAAAAAUGUGACAAGUGUAAUAUGCAAAUAAAACUCCUCCCAACAUACCAUUAUCUUCGUUCCUAUCGUUUCCUCGAUUAUUCUGUGAUUGAAAAAACAAAUAAAGCUCAUCUCUAAAUACCGGGUCGUUGAGUAUUGUAUGAAGAUUUUCCAACUACAAAAUAAAUAACAACAUAUGUAAAUUUAUAAGUUAAAUUAUAAAACAUAAACAAAAGCUAUGAAACUACAUUGCUAUUUUUAAACUAAGUAAAAAAGCCAAAGUACAUUGCAUCAAACACACAUACAUUGACAUAUAUACACCAAAUUUACAUAGAUUCACAUACAAAUAUCAAAUAUGCAUACAUAUGGCAAUUUUCAAAUAAUUGCUACCACUACACAUAUUUUGCAAUUAAACUAAAAUUUCACAAUAAAUAGAAGUAAAUAGAACCUGUGGUAGCGGAAAUCAAUGAAAACGGUCCAGUGGUGGCGGUAGUUGCGGGUGGUGGUCGGGAACGUAGCAACACAAUCGACAAAACUGAAAAUGACAAUUUUUUUGCAAUUAACCAUUCCAAUAAGCAUAUCGAUGUUACAAGAGAAAAGAGACCGAAAAUUGACAUGGGAAUAGCUUGGUGUCUCUGGAAAAAGGUUGAUGUCGCCGGAAAAAGUUUGGUCCUCACCGUAAAAUCUUUCUCUACUGGUGGUAUCUUCUUUGUGGACAAUUUCACACACCCAAAAUUGAUAAAUGUCACUAGUAUCCCACAAUAAUCGGCGAAGUAAGAUGCAGACUAGAGAAGAGAAACAGGCGAAGGGAGUGAAAUAGAAGAGCAAAAGGAAAAAUAUCGAGUUUUUGGGGUUAACUGCGUCGGUCUUUAGCGGCAACGCCUUUAUCGGUGACAAAUUGGGCUUUAGCAGCGACAACUAUCAAUAGCGGCGACUAUUAGGAGGAAUUAUUGUGGCUUCAUUUUUUUAUCUUUAGCAACGACUAUUUUGGAUCUUCAGUGGCGACAAAAGUCGCCUGUAUUUCCUUUAUGCGUUCCACAAGCACUCUAGCCGUUGGAUUAGAACCACGAUCAAACGAAUCACAUUUACCAGAAUGUCAAAUAGCGGAUUGGUGUCAUUCAGCCUUUAACGACGACCAUUUAAUUUGUCGCCGCUAAAACUCCCUGUCACCGCUAUUGAUGUCGCCGCUAAAGCCUCUAUUUCUUGUAGUGUAAUUAUAUGUUAUGCAUUCUAUGAAGUUGAUUUUUGAGGUAAAAUUGACACCCUUUGUUUCAAUACGUGCUAAAUCUAAAUUUUUAAAAAACUAUUUUUAAAAUUAAUAAAUAGGUGUUCGUGUUCAUAAAGAUCUAAUUUUUAAUACUUAUUAUUAUUAUUAUUAUUAUUAUUAUUAUUAUUAUUAUUAUUAUGGAACAGCAUAAAAGGUAUUAAAUUUUUAAUAUUUAUUAUUAUCACUUGGUACAAGAAAUUAAAUGAUAUAUUUUGGUAUUUUACAUUGUUAAAUAAAUAGUUAAUGUUAUUUUGAUACGACUGAACCAUUUAUUGGUUUUUACUCUCUUUGAAGGUUUUUUAUAGUCUAGAUUGGUCAACUGGUUAUUUGCCUUUUUAGCAGAAUUUAUGAGAAAAUUGCAAAUGACCAUGUAGGUUGAGUUUGAAGAAAACUAGAAAAGAAUCCCGCGUUGCGGGGUUGGAUACGCACUUAUGGUUAAAUAAAUGCAAGAAAUAGCAAUGAACUUUCAUACAUAUGUUUAUUAUAUUUAUGGCAUAUCCUACUUUAAUGAGAUCUACCAUAUUAUAGCAAUACAAAGUAAGUUUAUGUGGUAAUUUUAAGGUAUAAUGUCUUAAUAAGAUAAAAACUGAAAUUACAAUGCUAUAAAAAAAUCUGUCAUAUCGAUUCCAUAUUUUUACUAUUUUCUCCUCAUAAUGUGGCACCGGUUGCUCUAUGCACAAAGUAUCUCGUUGACACUAACACCAAUUUCAUCCAGCGGAGGUGGUGAGCCCGUAUCUCUAUAUUAAAAAAAUGUAUUAAAAUAUGUGAGCUUGUAUUCAAAGAAAAAAUAUCAUAAUAAAUACUUGUAGAAGUACAUAAAAUAACCUCUUGUUCUAAGUAAUUUGUCAAAUUCCAAGAGUAAAUCCCAUAUAUAUUUCUCUAUAAGAAAAAAAAAUACAACUGUAUACAUUAUGUGGGAUCAAAAAAUGAUUAAAUUUCAUGAUUCUAUCAUUCAAUUACUUAUUUUUUUUAAAUAGUUAUAAAAUUUUGGAAACAAAAGUAUGGAAAGAAUCAAAUAAAUGGAGCUUUUAUAUAUUCAAGAUUUUCAUAUGCUAACCUUCAGUUAUUGAUGUGGGGUUCCCACCAACAAAUAUCUUUUUGUUUUAUAAUCCCUAGAAUCAGCAAAGCCUUUGGGAAUGGUUCUUUUGAUUUCCAACUAUACAAAUAUACAUUCAAAAACUAUGCAUUAUUAGAAUGAGUAGAAUGUCUUCAAGAACACAAACACUUUUAUAAAGUAUGGAACUUGAUUCAUAUUUGAUCUCCAAAAACUUUGUUAAGCUGGAGAGGUCCUAAAGAAGAACAUUUUGGUAACUACAUGACUCGACUAUUCGAGUCAUAACCAAUAGGGCAAAAUCGACCAAGCAAUAACGUAAAUGUGAUUAAACAAUGCAAACUAAUAGUUUGUUGUUCUUAGAAUAUUUGUUGUCAUAUAAGAAAAUAGUCUCAUAGUACAGAUAAUCUAAGUGAAUAUUGAAUUGCCAUGCAACUUCAACGCAGGUAUUAGUUUCUUUGUCUAGAGAACAAUGUAACUCACCUUUUUUCCAUUUAUGAUAUGUGUCUCAACAAUUACAGUGUCAACGACGGAAGGAUCUGCAUAUGUGAUGACCCCAAAACCCCUAGGCCGACCAGUUUAUCGAUCUUUCAUGAUAACCGACUCCGUAAUAUCUCCAUACUUACCGAAGUACUUAACAAAAGUGUCUAUAUACAUGCAACCAUAAAGAAAUUAGAAGAUGUAUAGAAAGUGUAGUAAUAAAAAAUAAAUAUAUAUGUGUAUAGGUAACAGGAAAUUGUGUUCACCAGAAUGGGAGAACCGGAUUACAUUGACAACUGAUCCAUGGUAAGAAAGGCUAUUUUGGUAAGUUUAUGUAAUAGUUUCUUCUGUUUUUGAGUUGGCCUAAGAUGUAAUAAGUAAGUCAUUAAUCAUCAAUAUGAAAUCUCUUGUUACCUUCCUAUUUAAUAUCCUGGGGCCUUUUGUAAAGAUGCGUUUGUUUCUCUUUUUAGGUUUUUAAUAAUAGUAUUAGGUGUCGGGAAUUUUGUAAAGAUGACUCAAUAGAACACCUUUUUCAGAGCCAAAAAUAUCAUCUUCCUCAUCAUCAAGCUCUCAAAAACUCCUCUUAGUGAGUGCAAUGACGUUACAGAAGUUGAACGUAAAAGGAAAGAAAAGUUACAUGAUAAUAAAUCAGUAAAUAAAACGCAACUGGCUGUAACUCUGAUAAUUGAUCAUAACCUGCGCUUCUUGCGUGGUCGGUUCCAGGAAAAUCACUAUCGAAAUCAUCAUCCUAUGAUUGUAGUUAAUAAGAAUCAAUAAACAAAACGCAUACAAAUCGCUUUCCUCGAGUUCUUCAUUGUCAAUCGGAAUCAUAUGAUCGGUGCUAUAGAGCUGCACUUUGUGUAAUUGCAUCUGAAUCGCGGGUUGGACGCCACCCCUGCAUUGUCCGCUGGUAGGCACCGUCACCAUCUGCCCCUACGGAGGGAAUCAAAUCCCAAAAUAGAAACCAAAAUAAUUUUUGUUCCAAGCAACUCAUCUUUUUCAUUAACUGGACAACAACACAUAAAAGCAGAAAAAAGAAUGGAGACGGGUCACACAUGGAAGAAUUUGAUUAAAAAAUAAAUGAGAAAUUAGGAUAAUUUUGUGCAAAGAGAUGAAAAACAUACCACAAUGCCAAUGGGAAAUUGGAAUAGGUGAUCGACCUUGCUAAAAUCUUCACUCAAAUUUGAACUAUUGAACUACCGACCUAGUGAAGAUGAUUGAGUUCGUUCAUGAUACAUUAGUGGUGUUGAGGAAGAAGGGCAAGUGGAAGCUGGCAAGGGGAUUUCCUUUUUAGGCGAGUGAAUUUCGAUGAAGUAAUCAUAAAAGGAGAAGGAGUCAUCACCAGUGUCAACAGCUUCGACCUGGCGUUCGAUUGAAAUGAGCGAAGCGUGAUGCUAGAUGAUAGAUAUAACAAAUUCAUACCUUGGUUGCGAACUAGAUCGUGUUUUACAGAAAAAGCUUCAUAAAACCUAGCUAUGGCGGCUAGGGAAAAGAACCCUAGGUGUUGACGGGCAUUCUCUAGUUUAGAAAAAGUAGCACCCUUCCUCCUCCUUCGAACAAUCAAUCUGACACAGACACAAGUAGAAAUAAAAAACCAAAAAACACAUACAUACGUGCAUCCCUGAUAAAAGAUCUAAGUGGGUCAAUGCAGGCUCACAUCUUAGAUAGAAGGGAUGUGGAUACGUUCAGAGAGAAUGGGUUGUUUGAGAAGAUGNGGCUCCCAUCUUAGAUAGAAGGGAUGUGGAUACGUUUAGAGAGAAUGAGAUGAUUGAGAAGAUAAGCAGUCAAAGAAAUAAAACAUGAGGCGGUGAGUUGAGGCGGUGGAGUUUUUGUUGUGCGUAUUUAAUUGGCAGCAGGUGCAGGUGGGAGUAGGGAACAACAUGUAUCAAAUAUAUAUAACAAAACAAACGUAGCAAAAAAAAUCCAACAGCCGAUCAAAAGCCAGAACUGUUCAUCAUGUAGUUUAGAAUUAGUAUAUAUAUAAAUGACCACAAAAAUGAAGAUUUCAGAAAAUGAACACAGGUUCUGCAGAGGGGGUUCUGUGGAACCAUAAAUACGUCUGCGGAAUGUGAACACCUCUGCGGAUCUUGGUUUUUUUCAUUUUUUUUUUUCAUUUUUUCGUUUUUUUUUCGUUUUCGUUUAUUAAUAUGUUUUUUUAAUCACAUAAGGUAUUAUGUGUUUAUUAUGUAAAAAAAAUUCGUUUUUCUUUUUUCUUAUUUAAUUACCCGUUUAUAAAAAUUGUGUGUUUAAUAAAAAUUAUACAAAUAUUCUAUGUUUUUUUAUAAAAUUACACACACUUGUAUUCUGAAUAAUAAACAUAAUUUAAGUAGGUUACAAAACAUACUUUAGAAAACAUAAACAUACAACCUUCAUAAUAAACAUAUUUUGAAAUAAACUUAAAGUCUCUGCGGACCCUAUACAGCUCUGCGGAAUCUUUGUUCUUUGAUUUUUUUUUUCGUUCUUUUUUUUUGCGUUCACUUUCGUUUCUUAAUAUUAUUUUUUUAAAUACACCAAUACCUUAUGUGAUUAUUAUGUAAAAAAAUUGACAAAAAAAAAAGUUAAAAAUAAUGAAAUGUUUUAUGUAAUACGUUUGCCACUGAUGUAUGUUUUCCAUGUAUUUUUACUGGUUUGUAUUUUAUGUUCUAUGGAAUAAAGUAGAAGUUAACUCAACUGGUUUCGUAAAUAACCUAAUACAAACCAAAUACAUAUAAAUAAUGUAAUACAAACCGGUGCAUAUAAACACCCUAAUUAAAAUUAUACAAAUAUUCCAUGUUUUUAUAGGUUACAAAACAUACUUUAGAAGACAUAAACACACAACCUUCAUAAUAAACAUACUAAGAAAUAAACUUCAUUCAUUCAAAUCGAACCACGAAAACUUUGAUUUGUUUUCGUAUUUUGUCCAUGGGUUUUCUGUUGCUUGUGUCCCUAGGUUUACUGUCGCUUACGUCUAUUGGUUAUCUAGUUGUUGCUGCCAUUGGUACUCGGUGCAACCCUGUCAUUUGUUACAUUGGCUCUUCCUGCGGUUGGUAUUCGGUCCCUUGCGUCCAUUGGUUAAGUGGCUCCUAUUGGCAUUGAUGUUCGGUCUUUUGUGUCCAUUGGUUGUCUGGUUACUGCUGUCAUUGAUGUUCAGUCUGUUGUCAGUCUGUUGUGUCCAUUGGUUGUCUCGCUACUGCUUCCAUUGAUGUUCAGUAUGUUGUGUCCAUUGGAUUCAUCUCAACCAUCCUUGAUUCGAGUACAGAUCCUCUGCUUUCAGUAGUACGGACCUAUACUACCUUCCACAUCUAUCUAUACUUUCCUCAAGAACUGUCUCGACUCCACCAAGUCCCUUCUACUACUACUAUUGAUCUCAUGUUAAACUCAUCCUAGGCUUGCCUUAGGGUAAUCACCAACCCACUCUCCGCCAUCAGCUACAUAAGAAGUCCCUACUAUCUUCCCGUAACUAGCUCGUGAAUACUAUUACAUAUCACUCAAACUAGAUAAUUCUUCGAAUGAGAGGUUCUACCCUACAACGGUUAGACUCAAACGAGAGCUGCGAAAUAAGGCUAAACCUAACCUUCUGAAAUUAUUUAGUCCUUGCAAUAUGUAACUUAGUACAUAUUCGUUUACUAGUUAGUAAAAGAUAACUAGAACUCCUAAAAGCACAAAGCAAAAAACAUUCGGGCAUUGUGUAACCAUAAUCAAACAUAUACUAAUCUGGCUAUCAUACUGACUGAUCUAUACUAGCAUGCAUUUCGCAUAAAGUUGAUACACAUAUAAUAGACACAUAAGGCAUCCUUCCUAGAUCCUUAUCCCUAAUCUAGCAUGUUGUUCUCAUAAAGCUGAUAAACAUAUCAUAACAUAAACUUGUAUGGGUAAUUUGGGAGUACUUACUUGAGCUCAAUUGAUUGCGUGCACCAGACCCUUUUUCUCUUUCAAAUUCUUUCCACUUUUCUAAAAUUCUUUUCUUUUUCUUAAAGUACUUUUCAUAAAAAAUGAUUUUCUUUCGAAAAAGUUUCAUACCAAUUCCUUAGUUUGAGUCCAGACACAGUCGAGAGUGUGCCCGAAUCCCUCAAACCAAGGCUUCGAUACCAACUUGAAACAUCCCAAAAAUACAGUCUAAAAAUUUCAUUUUAAUUUAAUAAUAAAACCAUAUUCAUCGAACAUCAUAUAAAAAUUAUAAAUACUAUAUCUCAAAAUAUUAUAACAACUGAAAAAAAUAUCAGAGUAUAAACAUCCCAGGCUGAACAGAGGGUGUGUGCACUGCAAUCAUCCCGAGCUUCUCUUUUGAAAACAAAAGUACCUGAAACCAAAAUUGAAAACCGUAAGCACAAAGCUUAGUGAGUCUCCCCAAACUACCAUAUACCAUACAUAUACUCAUGCUACUGAGAGAUACGGGCCCCACCUAUACUCAAGGAGAUACGGGCCCCACCUACACUCCGCUGACUAGGAGAUACGGGCCCGGCCCACACUCCACCGACUAGGAGAUAUGGGUCCCGCCCACACUCCGCUGACUAGGAGAUAUGGGCCCCACCCACACUCUGCUGACUAGGAGAUACGGGCUCUGCCCACACUCAACCAAUCAUGAGAUAUGGGCCCCACCCACAUUCAGCUAGUCGUAAAAAUACAUACAAGUACUACACAAACAACAAGUAUCACUAAUCAUAUAAAUUUGUACCAUAUCAUAUAACGCUCUGUUCUAAAAUUAUUCGUUCGUGGAUUUCAGAAACCAAAGCUAAGGGCGUUUUGGUCAUUUAUGGGAUUGGAGUUUAUUUUGAGAAGGUUUUGGGGCUGAGAUAUGCUGCUAGAAGUUUAGGGCUUCUCGCCACCUUUUCGUGGACAUAAAGUUCGUCGGAAAUGGACUUAGAGUGAAGGAGUUAUGACACUUUAAAGAUUUUGGCAAUAAUGGCCCUUAUGGAGAAAAGUUCGCAUGGAACGCCAUGCAUGCAUUUUUGGAACACGCAUGGGUACGCGCAGUGUAAGCUAGGUUACGCCCAGCAUAGUGGAGCAAGGAUCGCGGGUGCUAAGAGGCGUUCGCCUAGCAUACAACAGGUACACCCAGCGCUCGCUCAGAACCUCAAAACCCUAUUUUUAGAGUUUGCCAAUAUAUAAGGAACAUUAUGCCCCAAGCCUUAGCCUUCAUUUCAUCCCUGGACAACUCCCACAGAAACCCUAAUCCUCUUUAGUGUUCUUGAAGCUUGUAAUGUCAUUCUGAGUACAUCUUAGUGUUCUUGGAGUGGAGGGAUCAUCUUGAAGUCUCGUAGAUCAAGGAAGAGCUUUUGGAUCCAAGUUCUCUAGCCCAUCUGCAAGCCCAAAAAGGUAUGAAGCCUCUAACUUUCCUUAUAGAAGCUUAGAUCUAGAUGUAGGAAAUUUUGGGAUCCUUCUAGGUCCAAAGAUUGCACCUUUACAGUGUAAAUUCAUCUCCAAGCUUGGGAUUGCCACCCUUAGAGCUAAAAAUGUCCAAUGAGCAAUAAAGUCUCGAUUUUAAUGGUCCUUAUGAGCUAUUGCAUGAGAUCUAGCCUUUGUUAUGGAAGUUGGUUGCCACCUUUUGAGUUUAGGUUUGUUUGGUGGAUUGCAGUCACCAAGUUAGUGACUUUAUGGAUUAAGACGUGGAAAUGGACCAGGAUCUGUGAUUGUAGCUUCUAUAAUGGAGUAAUAAGCACUUAAUGGAAAAGUGUCUUAACAGAGCGAAUUAAAUCGAGCGUACGCGUAGGUACGCCCAGCGUACUCGUCACUUGGCCUGUACGCUUAGCGUACAUGGGGAGUACGCCCAGCGUAUUCAUCAGAGUGGGAUUAUGGUGAUAUUGGGCCUUGGUGUGGGAUGUGCUUGGGACUUUGGGCCUUUGGGCCUUAGUGGGUCAGCAGAAGUCAGGUUAUUUUGGGCCAAGGAUAUGUUUGGGCUUAGGAUAAGGCCCAGUAAAGGGAUUGGGUCCAAUGUAGCAAAGUGGGCCACUAAUGGACUUGGGGAGUUUGUUUAGUGUUGGGCCUUAGUUUUGGACCAGGUUGGCCCAGGGGUAGAAUGGUCAUUCUACCCUAUGAUAGAUUAUUGGACAUGACUAAGUGUAUUGUGGUAUGGAUAGCUCGGAGAGCUGUAGGAUCAGCAGGCCGGGGAUUUGUCAGACAGCGGCCGAGGGAUUUUAACAGGACAACAACAGUGCAAGGUGAGUUUCCCUUUGUGUGGAUGGGUCUACGGCCACAAUGCCGACCCAUGUAGUUAUGAGUAGGAAGACUUGGAGGUUAUCCCUAGGCACCGUAUGCUAGUAUGAUAUUUAGGACCAAGGUCCGAUAGCGGGCGGGUGCCCAAGGUAUGGUUUGCAUGAUAGAGUAUACUUGUUGUUUGUGUGAUACAUGUAUGUGCCUGGUAGGGAGGUGAGUGUGGGCGAGGUCCCGUAUCUCACCUAUAGCAGAGUGUGGAUGGUGUUCCAUAUCUCAUUAGCAGCAGAGUGGGGGCGAGGCCCAAGUUACGGAAGAAGUGAGUGUGGGCUAGGCUCGUAUCACACUAUCAGUAGGAGUGUGGAUGGGGUUCCAUGACUCAUCAGUAGCAGGACAGGGGCAGGGCCCAAGAAAGGCGAGGCCUUUAGAACAGGAUAUAGUAGUGUAUGUUAGGUAUGUAUUAUGCAUUAUGUUACAUGUUUGUAUAUGUCUAGCGGGCGAGGCCUAGAGACAGGAUAGGCCUAAGAGAAACAAAUAUGUACACCGAGCGGGGCUCGAAGCCAGGCGGGGCCUGUUGUAGCGAGCGAGGCCCGAGGUAGUGGGUGAGGCCCAGUAUUUGUAGUAUGCAGUAUGUGUAUGGUAUAUAUGUGGUAGGUUUGGGAACUCACUAAGCUUCGUGCUUACGGUUUUCAAUUUUGGUUUCAGGUAUUUGCGGUAGCGGAGGGAAGAGCUCGGGAUGAUCGCAUGGCACACACCAUUGUUUAGUCAGCCUGGGAUGUUUACUCUGAUAAUGAAAAUAUGUUUUGGAAUUAACAUUCUGAUUUAUGUUAUGAUUUUAUUUAUGUUUUGACAAUUAUGUUUUAAGUAACGUUUUAAAAAGAAAUUUUUAGUCAUGAUUUUGGGGUCGUUACAAGUUGAUAUCAGAGACUUGGUUUGAGGGAUUCGGACGUACUUUCGAGUGUGUCUAAACUCAAACUAAAGAAUUGGUAUAGAAAUUUUCAAAAGGAAAAUCAAUUUUUUUUUUGUGAAAAUAGAUAUUGUGAAAAGAAAAUGGUUUUAGAAAAAUGUGGAAGGAACUUUGAGAAAUAAAAGAAGUUUGAAAAGAGAAAAGGGUGUGGUGCAUGCAAUCAGCCGAGCUCAAGUAAGUACCCCCAAAAUACCCAUACAAGUUUAUGUUAUGAUUAUCAGUUAGUAGAACAACAUGCUAGAUUAGGACUAAGGAUCUAGGUAGGAUGUCUUAUGUGCUUUUCAGUUGCAUGAUAGUGUUGGUUAGACAAUAGUAGGAUAGCCUGUUUAGGUUAUGCCUGAGUUUAUGAACUUAUGUUGCAUGCUAGUACAGAUUCUUGCUAUGUGAAUGUGAUUGCUUGAUUAUGUUAUGGUUAGAUUUUCCUUUGUCUGAAUGUUGCUUGCUUUGUGCCUUGUGGGAUUCUGAGUGAUGGGAGUUAGCCAAUAGAUGAAUACGUUAAGUCACAUGUGAUCAGGGUUGAAUAUUCUCAGAGUUCUGGAUUUGACCCUACUGCGCAGCUCUUGUUUGAGUCUAACCAUUGUAGGGACGAGUCCUUUACUUGAAGGAUUAUCUGAGUCUCGUCACAUGUGAUAGUAUUCAGGUAAUGGCUAAUUGGCAUUAUGAAGAUACCUUCAGUAGCUGAGGACUGAGUUCGGGUUGAUAGUUACCCUAGGGCAAGGAUGAGAGUAGUAUUGGGAGCACUAGUAGUAGUGAAAGGGACUUGGUGGAGUCGAGGGAAUUCUCGAGGAAAGUACGGAUAAAUGUGGAAGGUAGUAUAGGCCUGUACUACUGAAAGCAGAGGAUCCGUACUCGAUUCGAGAAGGGCUAAGAUAAAAUCGGGGACCUUGUAGUGAAUGUGUGAUCCCUCAGUAGUGAUGAGUAUUUGAUGAUAGUUAUGUUAUGACUCAUGCAGUAUGGUGACGCUACGGGGUAGGCCAGUGAGCAGUUCAGGUGCCAGUAAGGAGUCAGGCUCGGGUUUAGGAGUCGAGCAGCUCGGGGAGCAGAUGAGAGAGUUUAUUUCAAAAGACAUUAUGUGCAAUAUUCUAGACCAGACUCCUAUGAUCUUUUGUACGGUCAAGGAGGGUAUAUUGGAGAUUUUGGAUGAGAGGCUGGGAGCCUUUCACGCUGAGAUGGUGUCCAUGUUAGGGGUUCCUCUAGGGCCCAAUGUUUAUGGAUCUCUAGGAUCCCUCGGAAGGGAGGAUCCCGUUAUUAGCUCGUGUCAUCAGUGAUCGAGGAGGUGGUUAAUUGUGGAACGUUUCCUGGGAAGGCCAAUAACGCACAAGUAAAAAGGGGCAGAACCCCUAGGACGUCCAACAUAAGUACCCAGGGAGUACCGAAAGGAUUGUCAGUUGAGUGAGUUGUGUUCUCAGGAUUGUUGGGGAUUAGAGUGCACUUAAGGAUUGUUAUCUAUAAGGAAUAGCUUUAUUCUGAGUGACCGGGCGAAAGGUCAAUGAAAGUGGUCGGCCGGAAUUAUAUUCACCAGGUAGGGAUGUAGCGAGCAGGGUGUAGAAUAGUGGGCUAUAGCGGACUUCGAGGACGAAGUCUAGUUUAAUUAGGGGAGAGUUGUAACGCCCUGUUCAAAAAGUAUUCGUUCGUGGAUUUCAAAAACAAAAGGUAAGGGCGUUUUGGUCAUUUAUGGGAUUGGAGUUUAUUUUGAGAAGCUUUUGGGGCUGAGAUAAUGCUGCUAGAAGCGUACGGCUUCUCGCCACCUUUUCGUGGAUAUAGAGUUCGUCGGAAACGGACUUAGAGUGAAGGAGUUAUGACACUCUGAAGAUUUUGGCAAUAAUGGCCCUUAUGGAGAAAAGUUCACAUGGAAGGCCAGGCAUGCAUUUUUGGAACACGCAUGGGUACGCGCAGUGUAAGCUAGGUUACGCCCAGCAUAGUGGAGCAAGGAUCGCGGGUGCGAAGAGGCGAACACCCAGCGUACGCUCAAAACCUCAAAACCCUAUUUUUAGAGUUUUCCACUAUAUAAGGAACAUUAUGCCCCAAGCCUCAGCCUCCAUUUCAUCCCUGGACAACUCCCAUAGAAACCCUAAUCCUCUUGAGUGUUCUUGAAGCUUGUAAUGUCAUUUUAAGUACAUCUUAGUGUUCUUGGAGUGGAGGGAUCACCUUGAAGUCUCGUAGAUCGAGGAAGAGCUUUUGGAUCCAAGUUCUCUAGCCCAUCUGCAAGCCCCGAAAGGUAUAAAGCUUCUAACUUUCCUUAUAGAAGCUUAGAUCUAGAUGUAGGAAGUUUUGGGAUCCUUCUAGGUCCAAAGAUUAUACCUUUAUGGUGUAACUUCAUCUCUAAGCUUGGGAUUGUCACCCUUAGAGCUAAAAAUGUACCAUGAGCAAUAAAGUCUCGACUUUAAUGGUCCUUAUGAGCUAAUUCAUGAGAUCUAGCCUUUGUUAUGGAAGUUGGUUGCCACCUUUUGAGUUUAGGUUUGUUUGGUGGAUUGCAAGUCACCAAGUUAGUGACUUUAUGGAUUAAGACGUGGAAAUGGACCAGGAUCUGUGAUUGUAGCUUCUAUAAUGGAGUAAUAAGCACUUAAUGGAAAAGUGUCUUAACAGAGGGAAUUACACCGAGCGUACGCGAAGGUACGCCCAGCGUACUCGUCACUUGGCCUGUACGCUUAGCGUACAUGGGGAGUACGCCCAACGUAUUCAUCAGAGUGGGAUUAUGGUGAUAUUGGGCCUUGGUGUGGGCUGUUCUUGGGACUUUGGGCCUUUGGGCCUUAGUGGGUCAGCAGAAGUCAGGUUAUUUUGGGCCAAGGAUAUGUUUGGGCUUAGGAUAAGGCCUAGUAAAGGGAUUGGGCCCAAUGUAGUAAAUUAGGCCACUAAUGGACUUGGGGAGUUUGUUUAGUGUUGGGCCUUAGUUAUGGACUAGGUUGGCCCAGGGGUAGAAUGGUCAUUCUACCCUAUGAUGGAUUAUUGGAUUUGACUAAGUGUAUUGUGGUGUGGAUAGCUCGGAGAGCCGAAGGAUCAGCAGGCCGAUGCUUUGUCAGACAGCAGCCGAGGGAUUUUACCAGGUCAACAACAGUGCAAGGUGCGUUUCCCUUUGUGUAGAUGGGUCUAUGGCCACAAUGCUAACCCAUGUAGUUGUGAGUAGGAAGACCCGGGGGUUAGCCCUAGGCACCGUAUGCUAGUAUGAUAUUCAGGUAAAAGNNNNNNNNNNNNNNNNNNNNNNNNNNNNNGUGGGGGGGGGGGGGGGGGGGGGGUUCCCAAGGAAUGGUUUGCAUGAUAGAGUAUACUUGUUGUCUGUAUGGUACGUGUAUGUGCCUGGUAGGGAGGUGAGUGUGGGCGAGGUCCCGUAUCUCACCUAUAGCAGAGUGUGGAUGGUGUUCCAUAUAUCAUUAGCAGCAGAGCCGGGGCGAGGCCCAAGUUAGGGAAGGAGUAAGUGUGGGCUGGGCUUGAGAUCAGUAGGAGUGUGGAUGGGGUUCCAUGACUCAUCAGUAGCAGGACAGGGGCAGGGCCCAAGAAAGGCGAGGCCUUUAGAAUAGGAUACAGUAGUAUAUGUUAGUUAUGUGUUAUGUGUUAUGUUACAUGUUUGUAUAUGUCUGGCGGGCGAGGCCCGGAGAUAGGCGAGGCCUCAGAGAAACAAAUAUGUACACCGCGCGGGGCACGAAGCCAGGCGAGGCCUGGAGCAGGCGGGGCCUGUUGUAGCGGGCGAGGCCCGAGGUAGUGGGCGAGACCCAGUAUUUGCAGUAUGCAGUAUGUGUAUGGUAUGUGGUAGGUUGGGGAACUCACUAAGCUUCGUGCUUACGAUUUUAAGUUUUGGUUUCAAGUAUUUCUGGUAGUGGAGGGAAGAGCUCGGGAUGAUCGCAUGACACACACCAUUGUUUAGUCAGCCUGGGAUGUUUACUCUAAUAAUGAAAAUAUUUUUUGGAAUUAACUCUUGGAUUUAUGUUAUGAUUUUAUUUAUGGUUUGACAAUUAUGAUUUAGGUAACGUUUAAAAAGAAAUUUUUUGUCAUGAUUUUGGGGUCGUUAUAUAUCAGCUAUCUAUGAGAUACAGGCUCCACACAUACUUAGCUACUAUGAGAUGCGGGCCCUGCCCACACUCAACUACAAUGAGAUACGGUCCCCGCCCACACUCACAUUCCUAACAACACAUACAGGUAUCACACAAACAACAAUUAUAGCAAUCCAAUAAUCUGACUGAUAUCUAUACUCAGAUAUUAAUGAGAUACAGACCCCGCCUACACUCAACUACUAACAUAUCACAUAUAUGGGCCGACUUUGGUGCCUUAGACUCGUUCCUACUUGAAGAGGACUCACCUCACACUGCUGUAGUCCCGCAGAUAAAACCCUAGUUGUUGGAUGACACAUUCCCGAAUAUGUCAACAUCAAAAUAUUACCCAAUUAAUAAAUGGGUCCGAAUACAUAUCCAUAAGUCCAUGCUUGGGGUAAAAGACUGCUUUACCCCUAUCUUAGCUGGAUUCCAACCCAAGGCCCAAACCGAAGGCCCAAAAGUUUAAUAAUGAACCAAGGCCCAACUAUGGCCUAAUUUUCCAAAUUGGACCCAAUCCUCUACAUGGCCUUAUUCUAAGGCCCAACCAUUUAGUCCAAUCUAAACAUUUAGCAUUUCUAAUGGCCCAACAUCAUAUAAGCAUCAAGGUCCAAGCUAUGUCCCAUCUAUGGCAAAAUUUUACAAAUUGGGCCCAAACUCUGAUAUGGGCCUUAUCCUAAAGCCCAUCAACAUAUUCUAGUCCAUAUGAUUAUUUUUGGAUGGCCCAUUAUUGGCCCAAACACCAAAGCCCAAUAGAAAGGACCAACACAAAGCCCAAGAGAAUAUAGGGUUUCACAUAAAAUGACAAUUAUGGUUAAGUGUUUCUCACUUAACCCAUUAAGGACUUAAUCCAUUAAGUCCAUCACUCUAUUAGAUAAAUCAUAUGGUGUGAUUGGAUGUAAUUUACAACUCCAUUCCCAUGUCCCAAUUGUGGGUCUCAAUAAGUCAAAGGACCAUAAUUCCAAUAUUAGGGUUUUGUAAACCCUAAUUAGGGUUUCCACCCAAUCAUAGUGCAAUAGGCCCAAAACUAAAUCUUUAGGCCCAUUAGUAUUUCCAUAGGCCCAUUAGUGUUUUGCGAGUCGGGUACUACCCACUACCACGUCGGGUAGUGCUAGUCAUCAGUGGCUCAUGGUGGCGGCCACCACCCCACAGUGGUGGUUAUGGUUCUUUUUCAUUAUUCUCUUGCUAAUUACAAUUACAAUGCUUUAAUUCUAAUGAUAAACACACAUACACCAACUAACAGAACACACACAGCCACCCUAGUGGUGGCCGGCGGUGGCACGUAGUGGCAGCCACCACCUCACAGUAGUGGUGGUGGCCUUCUUGGUUUUACAGCCACACAAAACAUACACAUACUACACGAACUUGGAACAGCAGCACUCUCAUACUCACAUGAACACAAACACGGCAUCCCCUUCGGGGUGGCAACAAUGACUGGAGCAAACAGGGGCAAAUCAAUGUCAGCGGCGGUCGGGAUUGAAAAAUGGCAACAGGAGAAAAGGGGGAUGAAAAGUGACUCAAUCCUCCACCAAGAGCACACGACAACCAUCAACUUGUUUCUUCUGGUAGCUCAUUGCCAUAGCUUCAUCGGCAACCUUCUUCCUCACUGGUUGUAGAAGUGACGACGACGACUAGUCUCGACGGUUCGGUGCAGCAAAGGGCAUGGAGGCAACGGUCAUUCAACGCAACAACCGCGACGUUCGUCGUUGGCCCUCGUCUUGGCGGUCCUCAGGUCCUACAUUGGCAGCAAUGGAACAGUGGGAAGUACGUCUUCACCGGCAGCAAGGUCAUGAUGGCAUCUCGAUGGUAAGGCAGCAGGCGUUGGCGUUCGAGACUUCAUCUGGUCGAAAAAACAAGAGAGGCAUCGAGUGGCGUCCGGAGAAGAUAAGAACGAGGUGGCGGUUGAUUCCCCACUAGGGUUAGGGUUUGGGAGUAAUAAGGUGACGGGAAGGAAGGUCACCGGGUAUAUCCCGCUCCCAUACAAAUUCCGUUCACUUUUGUCACAUGUAGCCUCUCCUUAUCAGUUCUUCUCCAAAUUAAGCCCCAAAUUUUACCUUUUAGCCCCCACCCCUAAUAAUCUAUUCAAUCUAAGUCCAUCAAUUACCAUUUGUACCCUGCCUUAUGAAUUCCCUUUCAUAAUAAGUCCUAUUUAUUACCAAACAUACCACCACUUCUAAAAUCAUUCUCAGAUUAAAUCCGUAAUUUACUAACAACCUUCAACCAUCAAAAUUUUCACAAAUUAAUCUGGUUACAUUUUAACCUCCAACAACCACGUCUUGCUAAAUUAUUCUGCAUUUAGGGCCACUAUUCAUUAAUAAAUGUUUAUCUAUUUAUUUAUUUAAUAAACGGGGCGUGACAUGUGUAGUAUGUUUGAUUAGUAUGUGGUACGUUGAGUGAACUUACUAAGCUAUGUGCUUACAGUUUUCAGUUUCUAUUUCAGGUAUUUGUAGGUCGAAGGGGAAGGGCCCGACUUGAUCGCACCGUAUCACUCAAUGGUUUUCCGUAGUUAGUGAUUUUGGGAUUUGUACUCUGAUAAUAUGAUACAAUGAGAUUCCUUUGAAUACUUUGGUAUCAAUUUCUUAUGAAUGAAAUGAAUUAAAAAAAAAAUUAUCUGUAUUUUUGGGAUGUUACAAAACUAAGGUAUAAAAUAUUAAAAAUACUGAAAUUAAUUAAAAACAUACAAAAAAAAUUUUGGUACAAGAUUUGAUGCAUAACAUACGAUAAAUCAUAGCAUGAAAAGAAGUAGCAAAAUAAAGAGAAAAGUAGGUUGUGUAACCCGCUAAAUCCUCUAAAUUAGUAGUACCACAGGGGCAGGAUACCUCAUCUUAGAGGUACCCCCAGUACCUCCAACCUAAACCAAAAAAUUACCCCAUUCAGUCCUCCCUUAGAGUUUUGAAAGCGACUAAAAACAAAUUACAACAAACCAUGUUAAACAUCAAGCUCAAAAAAUGCCCACCUAUAACAAAUUACACCUAAAAUCUAUAAGUCCAAGAACAAACAUUGUUGAAGUAAACCCUAAAGCUUGUAAUACCUUUUUAGUGGGCGAUGAGGUAGCUGUAUGAAGAAGGUAAAAGAAGAGAAUUGGUGAAGGUUGGAGUUGUAGAGUAUGCCAGAGAAAGGGAGCAUAUGAAAUGAGCAGCAGUCGUUUUUCAAUUCAAAAUGAAAAUAUACAUCGAAGUAGGGUUGCAAUUUAGGAUAUCAAAAGGUUAUAACGACGUAUAUUGGGGGGUGGGGUGCAAAUUGGGUGGAGUGGAAAUGUAAAUUUAGGCCAGCUAGAUUGAGAAUUUGGACGAGUAUCAAACAGUGAUGAAACUAAAAAUUCAUCGGAAAUGAAAAUUUACAAAUUAGAGGUAGCAUAUAGCCCAGUUGAGUUAUAAAAACGUGUUUCAUAAAAGAAAUGUCAAAGAGGACCCGAUUUACAUUAAAUGAAACCUAAAUUUCUUUGAAAAGUGGAAUGGUUAUAUAACAAUCUAAACUUUAAAUAUCUGCAUAUAUGAACGCAUAAAGGAGCCGAUUAAAGUAUUUUAUUGUAUUGUACAACUUUACAAAGCAUAAAUUUAGGACCGGUCCAAGCCAAUUAGAGGCCCGGGGCAAAUAAAAAAAUGAGGCCCUUUAAAAUUUAAAACAUUAGUAUUUUUAUGAACAUCAAGGGACUUUAUAUAUUAAAAGGCUAUCAUAUACCUAGAACCUAGCAAAUACAAAGACAAUAAAAUGUGAAUGUUUCUUCACUACUGGAAAAUUGGUAAUAGAGUACACCCCCAUCUAAUACGGUUGUAAAAAAAACCCGUAUUAUAAAGGGAUAAAUAAAUAUAAUACACACAAUUGCAGCAUCUAAUACGGUUAAUUGCAGCAUCUAAUACGGUCAAUAAGAUGUACUAGAAACAAAACCAAAUAACUAAAAAAAUACGCUCCCAUUUUGAUUAAGUACGACUAAUACAUAAACAUGAUCAACUUCCUCUUUAGUUAGAAAUCCAACUUUAAUGCCUUUAUCCUUGCUGCUACAACUUUGAUCCUGUUUUCAACUAUUAAAGUAUUUGUCCCUGGAAAACCUCCUGUUGACUACCAAGGAGCUAGAGAAGCAAAACCAAUCACAGAAUUUGCACUCAAACAAGUGAAGACACUCCUUAAAGACAGAUUAAGUUGAAAAACUACAAUUACUGAAACAAGUGUACAGGUUUGUAUGAUGAUAUAAAACCAUUAUUCUCAAAGGAAUGGAAUUGAUAGGGGAAUGGAAUGACUGAUUCCAUUCUUGUCAUAGAAAAGAAAAGAGAGGUACAUAACAGAAACAUAUAGAGAUGUGCAUCAAAAAAGUGUACAAGUUUGUAUGAUGAUAUAAAAGUACAAUUUUACCCUUGGGGUAAUAUAUUUUUAAUUUGACCAUUUUGCCCCUUUAUAGGCCAUGAAAGCACAAAUAGGCGAUCUUGGACAGAGCUUAGGAAUGACCCAAGGUUUGGGCAACCAGUUCAAGCAAUAAUCGAAUUCCCAUUUUGCCCUCAUCCUUCANNNNNNNNNNNNNNNNNNNNNNNNNNNNNNNNNNNNNNNNNNNNNNNNNNNNNNNNNNNNNNNNNNNNNNNNNNNNNNNNNNNNNNNNNNNNNNNNNNNNAAUGAGUAAAUGACCAUUUUACCCUUCUGUAAAUAAAAAAGAAAAAUGAAUAGGAGAAAAGAUUUCUAGAUCCCAAAUUCAAUUCAUCUUCUGUGGAAUCUUCAAUCACAUUGAUCCUUUUGAAAUUUUCUGUCCAGGACCAAAAGAUUCAGAGACUAUUCCAAUCUCAUACGUAUAUAAUUGUUUUAGUGCAAUCAACAAUCGUCCAAUUGGGAGUGUGGUUACUACGUUAUGAACUGGAUGCAUGAGUUUGUACUUUUUCGACAACAUGGAUUUCCGAAUGUAAGUAUAUUGUUAGUUAUUUUUCUUGCAUUUUUGUUUAUUGUACUAAAAGCUCACCUUUGUUAAAUAACAAAUUUUUUAUCUUAAUUUGUUUGUAGAACAUUUGGAAGGACAAAAAACCAUUUUCUAGUGAGGAAUUGGACGAACGAAUUAAAACAUGGCUGAGAACUUUUGGAGAUAAAGUGAAGUCUUUUCAAGUUAACGGUUAGUUGUUCUAUAUACAUUGUUAUAAUUGGUUAUGUUUUUCAAAAACCAUUUUCUAGUGAGGAAUUGGACGAAAGUUUUUUUAUGGAAAAUGAGAUAUAUAAAAGUAGGAUGCUAUAUUUUGUGUUUUAUUGUGGAAGUUUGCAGAUUUCAAGUUAGGGAGGUUGUUGUUAUGGAGGUACACAAACAUCCCUUGUAUUUCAUGUUGUAUUUGCUCAUAUUUUUUAUGUUGUGGAGAAGUUUUCACCCUUGCAUUGCUAUAGAUGAAGUUGUUAAUGGCAUGAAUGUCCAAUAAUUUGAGUUUUCUUCAUUAAAAGUUAUUUGAGAUUUUGAAUCCUAAGUUUUCUUGUUUUUGUAGGCAUACACUGAAUUAGCCACAAAGGGUAAAUAGAGGUCAGAGGUGUGACAUUAAUAAAUUUAAGAAUGUUUUUAUGUUUAAUGAACUAGGUAUACAACUUUUAGAUUGUAUAGACUGUAGUCUGAAUUCUGAAAGAAUAUUAAUGUUUUUAUGUUUAAUGAACUAAAUGGUUAUUGUAAUUUUUUUUUCUGUUUCUUAAAAUGAAAACAUGAUCAAUGAUGUCCCACUUCUUAUGAUUGGAAUGGAAUCAUAUAGUAGGUUUGUAUUUUAUAGAGAUUGAUCAAUUGGUUACAAUUCACAUGGUAAAAGCUUUGCAGAAAUUAAAGAGUUUGUUUCAGUUGGAAUAGUUGGAAUGGUGAUCCAUGUGUUCCGCAGCAUCCAUGGAGUGGAAUUGGCUGAUUAAUAAGGCUGGAAUGCAAAGCCAGAAUGGGCUGGAAAGGCUGCUUGAAAGGCUGGAAUAAGGCUGGAAUGCAAAGCCAGGAAUAGGAAUGAAUAAGACAUCAAGUACGGUUGUUUAUUGGUGUAUUAGAUGUGUAUAUAUGGCGUAUUAGAUGAUACUUGAGACACGGUUGUUUUGGUGUAUUAGAAGUUUAUAUAUGGCGUACUAGAUGAUUGUAUGGGAUGGUAUAGGAUACAUAUAAUACGGUUAAAUAGCCGUACUUUAUUAUGCAUGUAAUCUAAUACACCCCUCUACUAGUACGCCUGCUAUGUACGUACUAUAUUCAUAAUUUCAACCGUACUCUAUUAACCUUUUUCUAGUAGUGCUUGUGUAGUGUAGGUAAAAUGUUUGAGAAAGUAUCAAUAAACUUUAGGCUGUAAAAUUCAAUCAUCUAAGGUAUUUGAAAAGAAAAAUUGAAGCAAAAGCAGACUUAAUUGAACAUGUGCAUAUCCAAAACACACCGGUUAUUGUCUUACACUUACAAGUUUAGUUCAGCAAUUUAUAGUGCUUUGAGAUCCUAAACAACAAAAAAGUUGAGAAAGAAACCGUUGUUAAACAUCCAUAAGGAUCCAAAUUUUGAGCCAUAACUAUAUAAUUUAGGAAUUCAAUCUACCCGAAUUGUUAUAAAAACAUCAAACAAACAGCCAAGAGCUUAACUCUAAAUUGUAUAAUUUUCCUUGGCAUUUUAUCAAACAUGUGGCGCCCAUACCCAUUAAAGGGAAGAACAAGCUUCAAGAUGUCAUUCUAUCUUUCCUCAAUGACAGUUAUUAAUCUCUCAUUUACCGUAUUCGAGUACCUCUGCCUCUUUACAAUUUUCAAUACCUAAAAAUUAACAACUUCAUAAUAUGUACCGGUAUUCAUUUUCUAUACAAACAGACGAACAAAGAAAAACACAUACACAAAAGUGAGCUUCAACAAUUAAACCCAGACUAUAACUCUUUGUAAACAAAUUCAUCUUAAGCAACCGAAAAUCAAAACCAGGUUUGCAUAAAAAAAUUAAUAAACAUACGAUCAAUAUCGUUGAAAGAAGGAUCAAACAAGAUGGAAGGUUGAUUGAAGAUUUGAGGACUUUGAUUAAACUCGUUAAAUCUUGAUUCUUGAAGGAUGACCUAUGAACAAAGAAUCGACAGUGUAGUGAAAAAAAAUACAUAGAACUCUAGGUAUUUUCGCUACAUAGUACUUAUGUAUUUUCUAAAACUAUAUAUAUAAAUAUUAACCACACCUCCUAGAGGGGCCUGAUAUUUGGUAAGGCUCGGGGCGGUCGCCCAGCUUGCCCGCCCUCUAGGGCCGACCCUGCAUAAAUUCAUAAACAACAAAUUUUUUCAAUUUGUAUUAAUUUAUGCAUUAAAAUUGUACAUUGUACAAUUCUAUGAAAAUAAAUUAUUGUUUGUAGAAAAAAAAUUGUUGUCUACAAAUUACUUUCCUACUUUAAAGUUCCAUGGAAUAGUAAAUAAGUAAACAUAUUUUUUUAAGUGAGAAAUUUUUUACAUUUUAUUAUGGCUUUUGUGUCCCGUCCUUUUACGGAUAGUUUAGUCCCGAGUUCUACAUUCAUUUCAGUUUAUUUAUUUAUUUAUUUAUUUAUUUAUUUAUUAUUAUUAUUAAUAUUAUUAUUAUUAUUAUUAUUUAAAUGACAAACGAAUUAUGGAUUGUUGGCUAUAUAUAUUAGACCUUUCCGGUGGAAGGUGAUAUUGUAUCAUGAUUCCGAACUCACUACAAGAAAUCUUGGCAUUACUGGCGACAAGGAGAAAGAGCGGUGACAUGUAAUUGACGUGUUAGAUAUCGCCGCUAUUGCUCCAUGUCGCCGCUAAAAGUGUCGCCGGUAAUGCUCGCAAACGGCGAUCUGCGUCAAAUUAUCCCCAUCUGUCUGAUUUGUUUUGAAUCCAAAGGUUGUAGAAAAGACGCUGACUUUUCCCUCCAAGGAGUUGCCGCUAAUACACUUGCGUCGCCGCUAUUGCGUGUCGCCGCUAAUACUCGUGCAGAUAACCCCUUUCCAGUUCCCUUUUCCGCCACUUUUCCUCUUGUUGUUUCUUUCCUUCUCUCUCUCGUUUCUGGGUUACAACUUCUUUCCUUCAUCAGUUCACAAGUAGAUUGAGUGGAGGACAAAGAUUUAAGCCGNNCCCCCCCCCCCCCGCCACAAUACCACCACACCUUCCCCAAAACCGGCGACCCUUAGCUCAUUUCGGAAAUUCCCCACAUUCAAGGUCAAGUUGCUCCUAUUUCUUAUUAUUUUUUUUGUUUUGGAUGAUAAAUUGGUGCUAUAUAUAUAUAUAUAUANAAUAUCCCUCCUGCAGAUGGCUCUUUCUUAACAGGUUUUUAUUUUAAUCCUUACUUGUAAUUGAUUUCAUCAUUUUUAACUUUUUGUAUUUUUAUCUUAUAAAUAUAUUGGGUGAAGGCUUUAUUAUAUCAGGUUUGUUCCUAAAAAGGUUUUUACUAUGUUUCUUUAAUGUGUUAGCUUUGCAGGUUCAAAGAACUCAACCAAGAAGGCCAGUUAGAGCAUUGUAUUAUCAUUAGUUUGUAUAAUAAGCAGGUUCAUUCCUUCUCUCGCUCGUUUCUUGGUUGCAACUUCUUUCCUUCAUCAGUUCACAAGUAGAUUGAGUGGAGCAAAGAUUUAAGCCGAUGCUAGCCCUCCUACCGCCACAAUACUGUCGGUGCUAGCUCAAUUAGGAAAUUCCCCACAUUCAAGGUCAAAUUGCUCCUAUUUCUUAGUAUUUUUCUGUUUUGGAUGAUAAAUUAGUGCUAUAUAUAUGUUGGAAAUUGCCUCUUGAAUUGUUAUUAGAUCUCAGAUAUACACAAGACCUUUCGUAUUUUUUUUCUUGCUAUCUGCAUGAACGAUCGAUGAAGGAAUCAGGAGGUAUCAAACCUCCUGAUUUAACCAAACUCCAUUACAAAAUAUAUAUUUUCAGCCCCUUAACUUCGGAUUUGUACGGUUUUGGUCCCUUUCUCUAAAAAAUAAUUAAAAAUCUAGUCUUAAACAAAGAAACUUCAAUUAAAAUCUUUAAAGUUUACCCUAUUAUGGAAAAAUCCUUUUAAUUGAAUCCAAAGUUUUAAUGUAAAAUUUAAUAAAUUUAUUUCUAUCUUUUAUAACAUUGAUUUAUUUUAGAUUAACCUUAACUUCGGAUUUGUACGGUUUUGGUCCCUUUCUCUAAAAAAUAAUUAAAAAUCUAGUCUUAAACAAAGAAACUUCAAUUAAAAUCUUUAAAGUUUACCCUAUUAUGGAAAAAUCCUUUUAAUUGAAUCCAAAGUUUUAAUGUAAAAUUUAAUAAAUUUAUUUCUAUCUUUUAUAACAUUGAUUUAUUUUAGAUUAAGUAAGCCUUAGAUUAAUUAAUUUUUUUAGAAAUUAUUAAUUAUAUUUUUACUUAAAUAAAUUUCAGAUUAAAUUAAAUUGUUAGAUUAAAUCAAGUUAAUGUUAAUAUUAAAAUAAAAUAAAAUUAGUUUAAAAAAUUAAUUUAAAUUAAUAGCAACAUACUUUCUCUUUGCUCCUCGGGUAUAUAUNNNNNNNNNNNNNNNNNNNNNNUUUAAAACUUUAUCCAUUUCUGAUUAUUUGUUAAUGUGUUCCCAUGUUGGGAUACUUUUUGAAUCAUUAACUUUAUGAAUACUCUACUUGAUUUUUGUUUCCCGUAGAGUAAACUUUAAACACUAAAUUAUGUUUUAUUUGCAUCAUGUCUAUUGAUUAAAGUUGGACUACUAAUCCACAUCGUCAAUCUCCCGAGUUGCAGCUAUGACUCGACUCUUUUUUCGAGAGAUCCAUGUUACACCUAGAUUGUAAAGGUGAAACCAGAUGUCCAUGUGAGAAAUGUGAUAAUCGUUAUUUCAUGGAUCUGAAAGCAAUGAGAUGUCAUGUUCAUAUAUAUGGUUUUAGUCAAUCAUACAACACGUGGAUAGAUCAUGGUGAACCUUUAAUCCUUCCACUUGUAGAUGUCGUAUCGCCAAGCAACGAGAUGGUUGAUGUUAUUGAUGAUGUUAUGUGGGAGUCGAGAGAAAAUGAUACAAACCUCGAUGAAGGAACCUAGAAUACAGGGGGUAGCGGUGUCGAGGAUGAUUUUGAAGAGUUGUUAGAGGCAAUCAAAACCAAGUUAUAUCCUGGUUGUACGUUUUCUUUCCUUUAUUUUUUAGCAAAGCUGAUGCAUAUGAAGGUUAACAACAAAUUGACUGAUAGUUCAUUUGAUCAACUUCUUGAGUUGUUGCAUUCUGCAUUUCCACCAGAAAACAAGGUUCCCCGUUCAUAUUAUUUAGAAAAAAAAAGAAACAGAAGAAGUUAGGUUUGGGGUACGAGUCAAUACAUGUGUGCAAAAACGAUUGUCUUCUCUUCUAGAAGGAACACAAGUCAUUGCAAGUUUGUCCCGUUUGUAAAGAGAGUCGGUGGAUUAAUAAAAACACCAAGGGUAAGAAAGUGGCUCAUAAGGUGUUACAGUACUUUCCAGUAACCCCUAGACUACGCCGUGUGUAUUAUUCAUGGUACACAUCUAAAAAUAUGAUAUGGCAUAGUACUGGGAGAUCAGAAGAUGGUGUGAUGCGUCAUCCCGUUGAUGGAGAGUCUUAGCAAAAAUUUGAUGUAGAUUACCCUGACUUCUCGAGCAAACCUCGCAACGUACGUAUAGGGCUGGUAGCUAAUGGCUUUAAUCCAUUUGGUAACAUGUGUAAUCUGCAUAGUACGUGGCCGGUUGUGAUCACCACAUACAAUUUCCCACCAUGGAUUUGUAUGAAAGAGUCAUCAUUCAUGUUGGCCUUGUUGAUUCCCUACCCUAAAGCGCCUGGAAAGGACAUAUAUGUUUUCCUUAGGCCGUUAGUGUAAGAGCUUAAGUUUUUGUGGCAAUCAGGUGUACGUAUUAAAGACGCAGCGACAAACACAUUCUUCACGAUGAAAGCCAUGUUGUUAUGGACAAUAAACGACUUUCCAGCUCGUAGUAGUUUAUCGGGCUAGAGCGGAGAAGGGUAUAGAGCAUACACGACUUGCAAUGAAGACACUCCCUCAUACCGUGCAGUAAAUAAAGUUGUUUAUAUCUGUAACGCCCGUAGAUCAGGGCUAGUUAAUUUAGAGACGAUAAGCGUCAAAAAUGACCUUUUGAUAGAAUAUUAUUUUGAAUGAAUAAUCUUAACUAAGUUGUAGUAUAGGUUACAAGGAUUCCGUACAUAUAAAGAACACCGAAAUCCAAGUUAUAACAAAGAAGUUAUGACCUGUCGAAGUUUCGCGACAGAACCAUAACGACGUUGAAUGACGUAAAAAGUGAAUUUAUGUUAGAGCGAUAUUUAGCCUUAGUGAUUUAAAAAAAAUUCGUAGAGUUCUUUAAACCGAGAGCGUGCAUAAAAAGAACGCUCAAAUCUGACUUCGUAUGAGGAAGUUAUGAUUUUUUAAAGUUUCAGCUUAGCAAUAUGCAGCCUGAAACUCGAAUAUGAGAUAGAGCGAUUUCUAGCUGAAACAAUCUAAACGAGAAUCGAAGGUCUCGUUGAUAGUAGUGCAACGGUAAAAAGACAGAAGGGAACGGACGUCGGAGGAAGAAGUUGUGAAUUUAUAACGGAGUUUUCCUGUCCUGACCUACUAAAAAUAAUAUAAUAAAAAUAAAUUGAAAAUUAGCCGACGGAGUCUAAAUGAAAGUCGUAGAGUAUAAUCUCACCUACGCGUGGAUAUAAAGAAAGUCGAAAACGGAGCUCGUAUGUGAAAGAUAUGAAUUUCUGAAGUUCGGGGCGUGAACCCCAAGGUUGUGUCAGAACUCACGAGGUGAGCAUUAGUGGCUCACGAGGUGAACAGAUGAUGGACGUCUUCCAGGGAAAGUGGUCAUGACGAAUGUAAUUACGUAUCAAGCUCAUGAGGUGAGCAUAUGUAGCUCACAAGGUGAGCCUAGCUCACGAGGUGAGCAUAUGUGGCUCACAAGGUGAACCUAGCAUUUUUGCCCUAUAAAUAGAAUUCAAGGGGGCGCCGAGUUUGGUUACUCAUCUCUUGCUCUCCCACUCCCAAUACUCUCUCUAAGCCCUCUUUUAACCGCCCGAAGCCCCAGUAUUAUCCCGAGACCCAAAGCAAGUCCCGAAGUUUUAAAGAUCCCGAGAAGAAAAGAGUUUCCGAGCCGAAGCUCUGCCCGCGAGAGGCCCGGUGUGUGAAGAGAUCAUAGUUUCACCAAAGAAUACUACUUUUACAAGCCGUAGUGUUGUCCGAUCAUCUUCUGAUCAAGUGAGUGUAUAGUCACUUUCUUCUUACACAUAAAUAUUAAGUAUUUGCUGUGAAAUACGUGUUAUGUGUGUAUAUGUUGUUGUCUAUUUGAGAUAAUUGUGGAAUGGAUAAAUUAUAUAGGUUUUAAUGAGUUAAACUGUAUACGUAUUUUGUAUCUACGAAUAUGUUGGGUAGAGCAUGGGUAGAUGAGAUUGUUGGUAUGGGAUAAAAGAUGAUUUGGAUCAUGAGAUAAAAGGAUAAAGAGAUAAACUUGUUAUAGAUUCGGGAGUAUGGAUUAGACCAAGAGGUUAGUUUUAGAUCCGGGAAUAUGGAUUAGGUAAUAAGGUAAAUUUUAGAUCCAGGAGUACGGAUUAUGUAUUUUUGAACUAAGUGUUCAUCCGAUAGGGUAUCAUGUGCAUAGUCCCUUUCAUGGACAUAAUUUUAAUACAAGUAUUGAUUAAAGUAUUAAUUAUAUAUGUAUGUGAAGUAUUUGUUAUUGCCCGAAAUACGUGUUAUAUAUAUAAUUGAUGAUAUACAAUGAACGAACCAGUUAUGGUCCAAUAUGUGUUAAGAUGUGUAUAUAUGAUAUUAUUACUUAAAACUUUGUGUUAAGUAUACUCAUAGUUAGCAUUUCCAAACGGAGAUAGUAUCGAAAAUUGAUUAUAGGCAUCGUAGGCUUGCCUAGUGAUGGGGUAAGACUUAAAUAGGGAUGUUUAGUUCCAUUAAGUUUGGACAUUGGGUAGCCUCUUAUUAAGAGUACGUGUGUUGUGAGAUUGAUGAUCGGUGGAGUACGUCCUACGUACAGAAGUACAUUUUAUGUACGAAGUCCUUUUCAAAGCUCUGUGUCUUGGGUGCUGCUUGUGCCAGGGUACUAUUAUGUUCUCGGGUACGAGUCUUUCGCAUACCAGAGUACUAUAAUGUGCCAGAAGUACUAUCAUGUACAAAGUCUUUUUGACAAUUUUGUGUGUCGGUUACGGGAGCGUACAGGAGUACUCUAGUAGUAUUUCCCCAUACUUUUAUUUUGAGAGAGCUUUGGAGUCAGCGUUUCUUUUAUGAGGUGAUCAACCGAGCUUCAUAUGUCAGCGUUUUCUUUCACGAAGUAAUUAAGGGAACUUCGUAGACUGCCUAAUAAAGUGUGUCGGUAGUAGACCACUGUUAGGUAUUUCUGGUGUUAUAUUGCUGGAUAGGUUGCAUCUGGGGGUGAAAUACCUCAUGUAUUCAGGCCACUGCUAGGCAAAGUUCGAUGUUGGAUAGGGAGAGUCUGCGGGUAUAAUACCUCACGAUAUUCGGACUACGCCUAGGCAUUGUUAUCAAGAUAACUACCCCUGACUUAAAAUGUCUUGUGGUUCUUUCUUUUACGAACAAAGGUUCGUGGUGAAACUUAUUCCAUUCCCCCCAUUUGAUGUCUUUAUUGAUCCUCGUUUGCUGCCAGGGAAUUUCCGAAGCAGCUUCGUCAGUUUGUUGUUCAUAUCGAUUCCUUAGGCUAGAUCUCGUAAGAUCAUAGUAUAGGGUCAGUAGGCGGGGAUCGAUUUUAUCUGUGUUAAUAAUAUUAGUGGUUUUGUAGGAUCGAGAUAUACAUUAUUAUCACGUGGUUUGAACUAAGAGCUUUCGUACUCUGUGUUCCUUAGGUGAUUGAGUUCACCAGGGAUAUUUGAACUAAGUAUUCAUUAGGUUUUUUUGAACUAAGUGUUCACUAGGUGUUUUUGAACUAGGUGUUCAUUAGGUAUUAUUGAACGCAGUGUGUUCAAUGGGUGUUCUUGAACUAGGUGUUCAUUAAUUAUUUUGAACUGCUUGUUCACCAGAGGUAAUCUAAGAACCAUGGCAACACUAGACUUUGUGCCAAUUCCUUAGGGCAAUUCUUACGAAUGAAUAGGAGAAAGGUAAUCGGUUCUUAGGGUAAAUCUUUAUGAAAUAAAGGAAGAUAAUGGGGGUGGGUAAUUGGAUUGAUUGUUUGAUAAUUAAAUAUAAUAAUUAUAUUAUUGUGGGUUGAAAACCCAAUAUGCUCACCAGGCUCCCAAGCCUGACCCUCUCAGUUUUCUUUGUAUUACAGGUUAUGGCACGAGAGCAUAAGUUGGCUGACAUAACGAGAGAUUUUGGAUUAUAGGCCAAUAGUUAUGAAUAACUGUUGUAAGGUCUACUUUGUUCUGUUUAUGCUUUUGGUCUGUAUUGAAAAUGACAUCCCGAGAUUUUGUUAUAUAAUGAAAAUACAUUUCUUUAAAGAAAUGCUUUGAUAAAUUCUUAUCAUAUUUUAUUUUGGGAACAAAUUCCGUAACUGUUUUCUUUGAAAGAUUACUCUGAUUUUAAAAACAAAGCAUAAACAAAUCGGUCUUUUCUGGCCGUGAAAUUUGGGAUGUCACAAUAUCGGUCAUCGUCGGUUCUUAGAUGUUGAUGAUCCAUUAAGGAUGAGUUUGAAAUUUAAUGGGCAGCCCGAGACAAGACCCGCUCUGAGAAACUUUACUAAUGAAUACAUACAAGAGCAACUAGGUCGUCUAAUACUUCAUAAACCGGGUAAACAUCCUAACACUCUCAAGGAAUACAUGGAUCGGCAAGGAUUCAAGUUGAACUAGUCGAAACGUAGCAUAUUUUUCGAGCUCGAGUAUUGGUCUUCUCUACAGCUGAAGCACAACAUAGAUUUGAUGCAUGUCGAGAAAAAUGUGGGUGAGAGUCUUUUUGGGUACUUCUAUGAUGAAUGAUAAGAGUAAGGACACAUCAAAUGCACGUGAGGACUUGAAAAAUCUGAAUAUCCGACGUAAUCAAUGGUUGCAAAAAAGGUAACAAGUUCACUAGAACACAUGCAAGCUACUCAUUCAAGAAACUUGACCGCAAAAUCUUUUGUCAAUUUAUAAGAGAUGUUAAAUUUCCUAAUGGGUUUGGAUCUAACAUCAGUAAGAAAGUGGUAAAUAAUGAUACUAACAUUAUUGGGUUGAAAUCUCAUGACUAUUACAUUCUUAUGCAACGUUUGAUAUCGAUUGGAGUUAGAGCGUUAUUGGACAAAGAAACUUCUACACCAAUUGUAGAUCUUUGUACGUUUUUCAAGAAAAUUUGCUCCAGAACACUAAAGGUGGAUGGUAUGAGGAAACCAAAAGAAGAUAUUAUUAGAAUCUUGUGCAAGUUAGAGUUAAUUUAUCCUCCAACGUUUUUCGACUUUAUGAUUCAUUUAGUUUUGCAUUUACAUGAUGAAGCGAUUGUCGGAGGCCCGGUAUGUAUGAGAUGGAUGUAUCCGUUCGAAAUUUAUAUGGAAAAACUAAAAAACUAUGUUAGAAAUAAGGCGAGGCCGGAAGGUUGUAAAGCUGAAGGUUAUAUUGCUGAAGAAGCUUUGUCAUUUUGUUUGAUGUACCUUUGAGAUGUCAAUCGCCUUGAAAGAAAUGAGGACGUUGUCAUUGAAAAAACAAAGUUUUGGAUGUUUGAGUCCAAGUGUCAACCGACGAGAGCAACGCAAAUCAAACAUCUUGAUAUAAAGAAACAUAUUAUAUAAUGGUUUAUAUUGAAUAGUUGUCAAGAAGUCAGACAAUACAUCGAGUAAGUGUUCUUACUUUUAAUUAUCUUUCAUUAUUUAUUGUUACUUUUUUCCAUUCAUCAAUUNNNNNNNNUAUAUAUACAAAUUCAUCAAUGGGUUCAAAAAUGGAUGUUUAUACUUACACCGCGUGCAUAGUCAACGAUGUUAGGUUUAUGGUACUUAGUCGUGACGCACAAUGCAAAACGCAAAACUAUGGGGUUCUAGCGGUUGGUGGAAAUGGAGAGAAAUAUUAUGGCCAGUUAGAAGGGAUUGGGAGAAGGCAGUCGAACAUUUUCAAACACCAUAAUUUUUAAGGCGUUCGACGUUAAACACAGAAUGACGUGCAAAACAAGUAGUUGUAAAUAGAGGGGGGUCGAGCUCAUACAACCAUGCAUGUUUCAAAGAAGUAAGUUAUGACAUAUUUAAAUAUUUAUUUAAAGUAUAAGCAAUCUAAUUUUUAAUGUUAAAUAGGAUAUCAGUCGAAUUGAAGUUUUUCGUAAGGCUAAUUCUAAUCGACAAGGGGUAUUUUAUAACCCUGCAGUCGAGCAACAAUACGUAAGUGGUUAAUUUGUAUUUUCAUAUAAGUGUUUAUAUCGCCAAGUGUAUUUAGUAAUCUAAUUUUUAUGAUUUUUAUUAUUUUUUGAAAAGAUAGAAUGCUUUACUCCAGGAGAUCAACCAACGAACCCAAGCUACUUCUGAAGUAAGCGGUCUAACACCCACUGAUAUAAAAAACUGUUUUGAAAGAAUAUUGAGUGUUCUAUGCAGACAUAUCAGAGGCAUUGGGCGUAAACCACCAACCGUUGUGUCCAUGUACGAUCAGGAACAACCAGUGACACAAGAACAACCGCAAUCACUAGUAACUGUUAGUUUAAGUACAACCACAAUCACUGGUAAUUGUUAGUUUAAGUUGAAAAGUAUAAUGAUAUAAUAGAAAAUACAAUGCUAUAAUGGAAAGUAGAAUGUUGUAAUGAUAUGUUGAUUAUGGUUUGAUAUGUUGAUAUUUUGUAGUAUGGUAAUUUUUGGAAAGUACAAUGCUAUAAUGGAAAGUAGAAUGUUGUAAUGAUAUGUUGAUUAUGGUUUGAUAUGUUGAUAUUUUGUAGUUUAGUAAUUUCUGGAAAGUAAAUGCUAUAAUGUAAAGUAGAAUGCUAUAAUGAUACGUUGAUUAUGGUUUGAUAUGUUGAUAUUUUGUAGUAUGGUAAUUUUUGGAAAGUACAAUGCUAUAAUGGAAAGUAGAAUGGUAUAAUGAUAUGCUGGUUAUGGUUUGAUAAUAUGGAUAUUUUUGUAGUUUGGUAAUUUUUGGAAAGUAUAAUGCUAUAGUGGAAAGUAGAAUGGUAUAAUGAUAUGUUAGUUAUGGUUUGCUUUGUUGAUAUUUUGUAGAAUGGUAUAAUUAUAAUGCUAUUAUCAUAUGUUGGUAAUAUAUUUUGUUUUCUUUUUAGUUGGAAAUGUUGCAAACAAUACUAAAGGAUCGGGCUUGUUCUGCAGCAUUGGAAGAGUGGUUUCGCUCAUUGCUGCCACCAAAUAAUGAAGGAAAUGAUGAGGACGAGUAGUUACUUUAGGAUUUUAUGAAAUGUUUUGUAAUUUGGAAGAAUACUUUAGAAUAAUUGUAACAUCCCAAAGUCAGAAUCAAGAGUUCAUGGGGUAAAGUGUAAGUUUGGAAAAGAGGAACUCAGCGAGUAGGAGAUGCAACUCAUCGAGUAUAAGUGUGUGUCGGGCACAUGUUAAGUGACCUGACUCGCCGAGUCGGAGGCUGGACUCGACGAGUCCAUGCUGGAAUGAGAAACCCUAAUUCCUGGGGUUUGCACCCUAUUUAAAGAAUGAUAUGCCUUCAUUUCAGCCUCUAUUUUCCCUAAGUGUUCCAGAGAAACCCUAAAUCGUGAGAGACUCCAUUGUUGAGAAGAUUGAAGCUUGGAAGAAGAAAUUAGUGAAGAGAAGUUGGAGGAAUUUGAGGAUAGCAUUAAGAGAGCUCGUGGAUCUGAAGUCUACAUCAGUUUAGACUCAUCUCUAAGGUAAGAGGACCUUACCUCAAGCUAUUUCCUUAUUAUUUCAUCCAUGGUGUGUGUGAUUCGGAGUUCUUUAGCAUGUGGGAUCCAUUUCGGGUAUAGAGACUAGAUCUGAGGUUGCAACUUCAGAUCUAGGUUGGUUUGGAGCCAUGUGAUCAGAAAGUGAUAACUUUGGGGCGUGAUUGAGAGUGUCCUUGCCUUAAACCUUCAUUUUAGCUUGAUUAGAGCUUGUUGAGCCUUGCAUGCACGUAAAGUUGGAAACUUUACGUGUGAAUCUGGCCCUAGGAGUCCAAAUCUAUGUAUUGGAAGCAAUGGAAUGGCAUGUGAUCGUCUGAAUGAAGAUAUUAUGAAUGGACUCGGCGAGUUGUAUGGGUGGACUUGGCGAGUUUUAUGGGUGGACUCGGCGAGUUGUAUGAAGAUGGGCAGGAACUCGACUAGUUGGAAGAACAACUCAAUGAGUCUGUUGAAUAUUGCCUUGGACUCGACAAGUCUGUUCGUGAAGUCCUAACCUCUUUGGUUGAGCUGUGAAUCAAUGAGUCUUGGGGUGGCUCGGCGAGUUGAGUCGUGGCAUGGGAGUUCCUGAACAUAGGAACUCGACGAGUCAACGGGUUAACUCAGCGAGUAGGGUCAACCAGGAAAGUUGAAUUUGACUAAGGGCUUUGACUUGGACCAAGGGUUGACCAGUUUGACUUCCAAAGGGUAUUUUGGUCAUUAUUGGUGUUUAUUGGUGUUGGUUAUUUGGUAAUGAUUAGUGGUGGAGUUCGUGCUGGUAGCCGGAGCAGCGUGGUCUUAUUUCUUUAAGUCGGCAGUUACCGGUGAGUUAUCCUCACUAUAUCAAUAGGGUCUAAGGCACCAAGGCCGACCCUUUUAGUUGUUAUCUUGGUUGCAGGAUGCUACAUGUGGUUAUGAUCUAUUAGAUUGGUAUCAGAAUAGACAGUAUGUUGUUAGCUCAUGUGAUUCAUUAGGAUUGGUGUGUUAGUGACCUGGUUAGGUCGAUGCCUUGGUCAUGAGAGAUUGCUAUGAUCGAUGAUCUGUGAGAUAGUUAUAUCUGAUAUUUGUACUUGUACUGUUGAUGUGCUUAUUGAUCUAUUAGAUCGGCAUCCUGGUAAUAGGGACAGUAUUAUGUCAGUGACCUGGUUUAAGUCGGUAUCUUGGUAUAUAGGAUGAUGCUAUGUUAGUGACCGGUUAGGUCGGUAUCCUGGUUAGGAUAUUGCUAUGUUAUGUGAUCUGCUAAAUCGGUUGAUUAGUUGUGAAUUGCUAUGUGAUUAUAUGUUUAUGUGCACAUGGUUGUUGGACUGGGGUUGGGUUGAGGCGGGUCCUGCUUUGUGCUGUAGGCCAACAUACCCAGGGCGGACCGGUUAGACCGAAGGCCCGGCGAGCGGUCCGGAUAGGCUGAAGGCCCCAAGAGGGGGGAUCAGACGUGCCGAGGCUCGGAGAGUGGACCAGACAGACUAAAGGCCCGGUGCGGCGGACCAGUCAUACUGUGGACUCAGAGAGAGUGUGGAUCGGGUGGACUGAAGGCCUGGUGCAGGCGGACCAGUCACACUAUAGACUCGAUAUGCAUGACUGUUCUGUUUAUGGUAUGAUAUGAUAUGUGAAUGGUAUUGUGGUUGGUAUUUUGGGGGUAACUCACUAAGCUUUCGGGCUUACAGUUUCAGUGUAUUGUUUCAGGUACUUCAGGAGAUCGUGGCAAGGCAAAGGCGUGAUCGUACCGCUCCUCAGUUUUAUGUUGAUGUUUCUGGGAUACUCUGAUAAUAAAUGAACCGAAAACCUUUUUGUAAUAACUUAAUGAAUAUGGGUUGUUUUUGAAAAAGUUUAAAUUGGUUGUAAAUUUUCAUGGUGUUGCAUUUAGAAUGUGGUAUGGAUUAAUAUUUUAGAUUGAUUGUAUGGAUUAAUAUUUUGGAUUGGUUGUGUAUGGAUUAAUAUUUCUAUAAAAAGUUAUCAGAUUUUAUAAAUGUUAUAUUGUUUUUUUAUAAAUUUAAUGUUAAAUACAUAAAUAAAAUAAAAUUUAAAAAAAAAAAAAAACAAAACUGUUUUAGCAACGACGACUUUUGUGGCGACAUACACGUAUUAGCGGCGACGAGCAGUAUUGGCGGCGACAUAUCAUUAGCGGCAACUCUCAACCUUUAGCGGCGACUACAGGUGCAUUAGCGACGAAACAAUACUGGCGACGCAUUUGCAGCGACGUGUCGCCGCUAAAGGUAUUAGCGGCGACUUCUCGAUCCUUUAGCGACGACAGGCGUCGCUGAUGUUGCCCAGUCUUCUUGUAGUGACUUACAAAAUUAGAAAGGAAAACAUAUAUUUUAUUAGGAUUUUUGUAGUGCAUAAUUGCUAUAUAUCUUGAUUAUAGGUGUAGUAAUAUUCGACAAAUGCAAGUUGAUCCCAGUCAAAUUUGACCUUAUUUAUGAUAUCAUCUAUAAAUAAUAUUGUAUUUAAUGAUAAGAAUACACAAUUAUAUUUAUUUUUCAGAAUAUUUACCGUUUGUGUGAACCAAAGACAUACACGUUGUACCUAGUAAAUGUCUAGUUACAUUGACAUCUUUUCUUAAGUCAACACCAACUAAAGUUUGCAAUACGUUUUAUGACAAUAUUAAUAACGACUAGAAUUGAAUAUUGACUUCACUUUCUCAAGAGAACCUCAGUAACUAAUUUAUCAAAGUUGAGAUAAGACGACCCCUCAGUAGCAACUGCUUCUUCCGCUUUCUUCUUCCAUUCCAAAGCCUUACAUUUCAUCAUUUUCCCUUUCUUCCCAUCCAUCAUCUACCUCACCUGCUCUCCCUUCACAUUGGAAUCUAUUUCCAUUCCAAUCCCCCACUCUAUACAACUAUAACGACAAUUCGUUUGUUGCUCUGCAAAAUACGGCCAGCUAGCAAAUCACUGGAACACCGCUGCUAAUACUCUCAAUAGUCGAGUUCCGUCCACUGUGAGUCAGGAUUGCUCCAAUUGUUGGGUGCUUUAAAACCUUCAAAUAUAGACCAAUAAAGAAACUUUUUAGUGACAGAUUUAAAUUUAUGUAUGAUAUUAGGGUGAACAAAAACCGAACCGAAAACUGAAAAACCGCGAAAUAACCGAAACCCGAAAAACCGAAACCGAACAUAAAACCAACGGUGCACUUCUAAAUUUUUAAAAAACUGCAAAUUUCAGUGCGGUUUGGUUUAAAUCCCUAUAACCGCACAAAAAACGGAAAUAACCGCAAUAUUUAUUUAUUUAUUAUAUAUACCGAAUUUAUUUUGUUAGCGUAGUGGCAUAAUAUGAUCUUAAAUAUAGACUAUUUUGAAAUAAAGUUUACCAACCAAUUUGAAUGUCCAGAAAACUAAGAAUUUAGAAUUAACUAAAAUUUAGAAUAUUUUAGUUACUAAUUAAAUCCGCAAAGAAAUGGUAAGAAUAUUAGAAUAAUGAUAGAAUUUAUUUCCAUCCCACCAACCGUACUAAUAUGCUAGAAUUUUAAAUAAACAUAAACCAACCCAACAUCCUAUCUUUUGAUGGUCUCAAUUUUAAACUCACAUAAUAGCCCACAUUCACCAUACCAUUUUAUAUCGUAAGUCAUAACAUAACGCUCAAUUUCGCCACUGGUUUUAAUAUUUCAAGCUUUUGGUAUCUAAUGAUCUUAAUUAUAUAUAUAUAUAUAUAUAUAUANNNNNNNNNNNNNNNNNNNNNNNNNNNNNNNNNNNNNNNNNNNNNNNNNNNNNNNNNNNNNNNNNNNNNNNNNNNNNNNNNNNNNNNNNNNNNNNNNNNNNNNNNNNNNNNNNNNNNNNNNNNNNNNNNNNNNNNNNNNNNNNNNNNNNNNNNNNNNNNNNNNNNNNNNNNNNNNNNNNNNNNNNNNNNNNNNNNNNNNNNNNNNNNNNNNNNNNNNNNNNNNNNNNNNNNNNNNNNNNNNNNNNNNNNNNNNNNNNNNNNNNNNNNNNNNNNNNNNNNNNUAUAUAUAUAGCAUUACAGUAAAUUAUGGAUAGUAGGUAGGGGUGACCAAAACCGAACCGAAAACCAAAAAAUCACACGACCUCAUUUUGCAGUU